rnacentral:lncRNA from 1 species
GGCCUUUCUUCCAUAUUUCCUGAUAACCCCCUGCAGAAAUAGACAAACACCAAAACUCGUGGAAUUCUGUCAGAUAAAACCCUAAGUCUAGAUGUUGAUUUCAUUUGGAUCCUUUUCUUUAUUUAUUUGAUAAUUAAAUUUGAUACUUAAGGACCGUCAACAAACUCCCCCAAGCUUACCUCUUGCUCGUCCCUGAGCAAGGAUAGACUCAGCUAUGGAUCAUAAGUUGUUGCAAUAAUAAAAAUUGACGGUACACAUGCUUUUUUUUAAAUAAGAUCUCAUCUCUGAGUUAGAGUAAACUGUCAAGACUUAAAACUUACUUACUUUACCUUCACCAUGGGAAUUGUAACUGUCACUUCUAUCUUGAGUGGUUAAAAGAUAGAACAGUCUAGUCAAGUGUCAUGUCUCUUAUUCUUGAUCAGCUAUAGCUCUGUUGUUUUUGCAGAUUUUCAAAUAAAACUCAGAAAUUCCUUGUAUGAUUCUCUCAGAUCUCUCUUUUGUGGUAUUUUUUGAUCCUUACCAAGACAGUAAUGGUGUAUGCCUUCUCUCAAAAUAUGUAGUAUUUGUGGUAUAAGGCAUAGUGACAUUGCCUUCUCUCUCACCCUACUCUAAUAAGGCUUUUAUAUCUGGAGCUCAUAGGUGGGAGAUAAAAUAUACAUACUUACAAGACAUUUAUUGUAUAGUCAAACCAUGGAUCCAAAGAAACAAAUCAAUAAGUCAAAUCAAAAUGUGCAUGUGUGGCGAAUGAAUGGUGAUGAUGGUGGUAACAAUGGUGGAAGUCUAAUUCUACAUUUGCUCUUUGAGGGGAUACAUACCUUUCUUGCUUUUUGAAACUUUAUGAGGAGAAUGAGAUGCUCUUCUUUUUUUCUCUCAGGUGGGUAUCUUGUACCCCUAAUUCUACUGUCGGACACUUGUCCAAUUUUACCUCUCGUCGCACUUUUUCUUUUCUUUCGAGGUUCCGGGCACUUGCCCCUUUUUAUUUCCUCGUAUCUCCUUUUUUUUAGAGCACUCAUCUCUUGAGAUAAUAUAGCAAGUGGUAGUAACAAGAUAACUUGAGCAUUUAUUUUACAAGGGAAAAUAGAAAUAUUUUUGGUUAUUCUCUCCCAGAUUAGGAGUAGCAUAUUUUUGGGUGGUUCUGGAGAUGGAAAUGAGUAGAUAUAUGUGGAUGGUACUUCCGGAGUAGAAGUAGCAUAUAUGAGUGAACGUGCAAGUGAAAUCUUGAUUUAACCACAUGACAAGCUCCUAAGGGUCUACACAGCUUGACCACACUCAAUUCUCAUAAGCAGUAAAUAGUAAAUGUGUGGCUCAAAGUCUAGCAAGCAUGUAUAUAUGGCUGUGGUAGGAAUUUAAACUCUCAUCAUACAGGAACUCAUCAUGCAACAUUUUAAAGAUUUUCAAAGAUAAAAUUCUCCAGAAUUCUAGCAUCUCUAGGAACAGAUAAACAGCAUCUCAACCUUCCCAUAUCGUAUCCGUUAACAACUUAGACUUCAGAUCAAAUUUUCAUCCCACAAGUUUAGGUCUAGAGCAAGCUUUAAAUUAUAACAGUUAUAUCUAAACUUGAGAGAGAACUUAAAAUGUGCAAAUUAGGCAGAGCAACUAUUCAUCAUAUCCAUGCUUAAGUUUUAUUUAGAUACAGAUUAGCAUAGCCACUUUAUUUAUUUAUUAAACACACUAAGCAAAAGAUAAAUAUAUAAGCACGAAAUCUUUAUUUGGUUUUUUAUAGUUAUGUAUAACUAUAUUUUAAUAUAAUAUAAGUAUAAAGAUAGAUAGAAAUACUUAUCGGGAUAAAUGGGGGUGCUCUUCCCCAAGCUGAAUUUUGACGUAAUUUCUCUUGAUGUAGCUAGCAGGUGGUAGAGGUGUAUUUGAAAGUCAGUAGCAUUCUGACAGCGAUUAGAAUGUCCUCCGUCUGCUAGUCUUCUUGAUUCUUAAAUUCUGUGGAGCUCAAAUAGACAACAAAGUGUUGACGGUCCUUAAUGCUUACAUUUAACCAUCAACUAAUCAUGGAAAAGGAUCUACAUGGAACCAACACCUAGACUUAGGGUUUUAUCUGACAGAAUUCCACGAGUUUUGGUGUUUGUCUAUUUCUACAGGGGGUAAUCAGGAAAUAAGGAAGAAAGGCCCACACGUCGGGUUUACAUAGAGAUAUUAACGUGCCGCGCAAUUUUCUACCAUCUAGAAGACUCCAGAAGCCACGGGAACGAACGGAAGACGUAACGGAGCCGGGCACUGGGCGUCCGCCCUCCCUUACUGGGCGCCCGCCCUCCCCCUGGACCAAUCAGGGUGAAGUUCGGGGAUCAUGCUCCACCGACCUAAUACUUCAAGGAAAACCACACGAUCAAUGUCGGUUUGAUCCGACGGCCUAGAUUCACUUGAAGGGACUAUAAAACCAGACCCCCCUGGCCCCUAGAGAUCAUACCUCUUCUACAGAAUCAAAGCUAGGGUUUCAAUUCUUCAUCCAAGUAGAGAGGAUCCCUCUAGUUCUUCUAGUUCUACCUCUAGUUCAUGGAUCUAGUUCUAGUUCAUCUAGUUCUAGUUCUAGUUCCUCUAGUUCUAGUUCUAGUUAGUUCUAGUUGUAAUCUAGAAAAUAGGGAGAGAGAAGAGGAGAGCGGAGGAGGAGCCGGAUCUGUCGGAUCUUCCUCAACAUUAUACUUUUGCAGCAUCUGGUUCGUUCUUCAUCGUUCUCCAGGUUCUUCAAUUCAUAAUUCCUGAGUUCUCUAAUUAUUUUUAUUUACAUUCAAGUUAUUUAUUGGAUUCCCGCUUGCAUCAAGUGCUCUAGUCUUUAUAACGCUAGAGUAGUAAUUAAUAGAUUAGACGUGGUGUUUAGUCUUGCGAUUACGUGGAAUUGCACCCAAUCCUGCGGAUUGUUGUGGUAGCCUUAGGGUAGUGACAGCCCUAACGGUCGACGUAUUCCACCACGUUCGGAUCGGUGUUUGUAGGACCGUAGUCAGACCUUCCUAGCCCCCUUCUCAUCUCUUUCUGUGGUUAGUGCUCUGAUGUCCCAAUAUAGAUAAUCUUGAAGUAAUUCUUGAUUCCUAGAUCAACUAGAGAACUCUCAGGAAACUUCCUCUCUUCCCACCAAAAAUAAUUAUAUAGUUAUCCUUGGGCGAUCUUGGAUCUUAAUUAGUACACUCACGUUCUCUGUGGAAAAUCGAUACUCUGGAAUACUCCCGGGUGAAAGCUACAUCGGUAUCCGUGCGCUUGCGGAUUUUUCUGUUUGCGUUUAAAAUACCCAACACAAAGCUUGUGGAACUGAUUAAGUGUUAGCAUAAAUAUCUAGCCUUUAUCAUGUUGAGACUCCUCAAUAAUUAUUACUCCCUGUUUUUAUAUUUUUAUUUUAUAAAGCAGAAAAGAAAUUUUUAUUUUUAUUUUUAUGCCACCACAGUGAAUGUACUUAUGGGUUUUAUGCCACUCGUAUACUCACAUGGGGCUUACUGUUUUUCAUAUUUUUAUUUUAUUUUUAAGAUAGUAUGAACAUAAUUAACUAAGUAAACUAGUUGAAAUAAUUGAAAGGGAAAAAGAUAACAACCAAGUUUACCUCUCGGCAAGGCGUUCGGUGUUUUUAAGUCCUCCGAACGGGACUCUCCUUUCCAUACCUGACUCGAUGCUUCAGUCUCCUUAGGAUAAUUCUGUUUAAACUCUACGUCUUCUGACCUUACAACUUCUCCUUCGUAGUCUGCCCAUCCGUCCCUGAUGAUUUGCCUUCUCUGGUUGCGGUUGCGUCGUUUUCUUACCUGCUUCGAUUCUUCAACGAUAUAAUUAGGGUCAGUAAAAUAACGGCAUACCUUCACUGAGGGGAAGUGCAUAUGGACUUCUCCGGUUUCAAUGUAGAUAAUUGCUUUAACGGUGUUGAGGAACGAUCUUCCAAAGAUGAUGGGUGGAUCGUACUCGUCUUCUCCCAUGUCAAUAACUUGAAAGUCUGUGUAGACAAAAUGAUUGUCUAUUUUGACUGGGACAUCAGUUACUAUUCCUUUAACUUCUCGAAAUGUCUGAUCUGGCAUCUGGAGCUGAAUGUAUGUUGGUUUUAGGGGCAUGGUUCCGAACAAGAGCCGAUAGGUGACUGCGGCCAUUAUGUUGACGCCCGAUCCGGGGUCACAAGUCGUGUUGUAGAAGUUGUAUCCAUUUAUGGAGCAGUAGAUGCUUGGCAUUCCUGGGUCGUCCUUCUUGGUCAAAAACGGUGACUUAAGUUGAUGAUCUUGGCCUCCAUGAACUACAGUGACCAUCUUAGCUGACUCGGUCCAUACUUGCUUGUUCCUGUUCCUCCUGUUGGUCCUCUUCCUUGAUUCACGUCUGGAUUGAUCUGGAAUUUGUGUAGUCUUGUCCUUGAAGAAAAACGUCUCCUUCCUCCCUUUGAUGUAGAAACUGAUCUUUGCAGCUCUAGCGUGGAUGAUAGCUCCUAAGGUGUUUAAGAAUGGCCUCCCUAAGAUGAUGGGUGCCCUCUCAUCAUUGCCGGUCUCUACCACUACGAAGUCUGCUAGGGCAUACAAGGUACCAACUCGGACACAAAGGUUCUUCAAUAUUCCUUUUGGAAAAGUUAUCGUCUGAUCUGCAAACUGCAAACACAUGGUUGUUUCUAAUAAAGGAUAUGUAAAGAAUUUUUCAUAGAGUACCCUGGGUAUAAUGUUGACGCUAGAGCCAAAGUCGCAGAGUGCUUCUGGGAUGUCCACCAUGCCGAUGGAGAUCAGGAUGACGGGGCGUUCUGGAUCGCCUCUCUUGACCGGCAGAAGGUCAGUUGAGAAUUCAGUGACGGGGUCACUCCAAUUACCUGCAUCCAACAUGUCUACAAGAUUUGCAGAUUCUAAUCCUUCCGGUUGUGAUGGUAUACCGGGGUUAGUAGUAGGAACAGCAGCAGUUAUUUGAUUUAACUGAGAUUCAAUCAUUUUAUUAAAGCUAAUUUGAUUCUUGAUGGAAGUAGAGAAAUUAUCCAUUCUAUUAUUUAUAUUUUCUAGCAUUUUAUCAUUAGAUGCCAAUUUCUUAGAUAGAUUAUCCAUUAGCUUUCCUUGAUUAGACACUAACUCUCUCAGAGGUGGAAAAUUAUUAUUAUUGUAAGAAUUGUUACCUUCAUAAUUACCUGAGUAGUUAGGCCUCUGUUGAUUCCAACCUUGAUUUUGUUGAGGACGGUUGUAGUAGUUGUUGUUGUUGUUGUUGAUGUAGUUCACAUCCUCAAGUAUCUCAGGGCAGUGAUUGCCUGAGUGUCCAGUGUCUCCACACCCCUCACAAGUCAUGUGAGAGUCGUAGAUGUGCAUAACUUCUUUCUUAUCUCCGGCUCUAUCAUCGAGCUUCUUCAUGAGCAGGUCUAGCUUUGCAGACAACAUGUCUACCUCCUUCAGCUGAUGCAUACCUCCACCUCUCUUGUGUGUCUGGGUCCUUUCUUCAUUCCAGCUUUGGUUGGACGCCAUCUUCUCCACAAGAGCUAUGGCUUGUCGUAUAGUAAGUGAUAAGAAUGCUCCUCCAGCUGCAGCAUCCAUGGUCUCUCGGGCACUAUUGCCGAGCCCAUGAUAAAACGUCUACAUCAAUAGCCAACUCUCCAUUCCAUGAUGGGGACAUUCUAGGAUGUAGUCUUGAAAGCGCUCCCAUGCUUGUGGAACAGAUUCAUCAUUUUGUUGCUGAAAACUUGUAAUCUUCCCACAGAGAGCAUUGGUCUUGCCCAUGGGAAAGAACUUUGCCAGGAAGUUUGUUGAGCAGAGUGCCCACGUAGUAUUCUUCUCCUUUGUAGCGUAGAACCACUGCUUCGCUCUCCCUAACAGUGAGAAUGGGAAGAGGCGAAGUAGUAUAGCAUCUUUGGAAACUCCUGAUAUGGUGAAUGUGUUGCAAAUCUCCAGGAAGUGUUGGAGAUGAGCACUAGCAUCUUCAUGUGCCUUCCCACAGAACUGGUUGGAUUGCACCAUGUUGAUAAGUCCAGGCUUGAGCUCAAAGUUGCCAUCGAUCACUGCAGCAGGUCCAGUGUGGAUGUUGUCCGUAGUGGGAGCUGAGAAUUCAUGGACCGAUUUGUUCGCCAUGGCUUCGAACUCUGAAGACAAGUUCCGGUGAUCUUCUUGAUUGGAUGAAGCUUCUUGCUGAAGUGUUGAUGAUCUCCUCUUGAGCAUGGCUCUCGUCUUCUUGAAUAAUGCUUUGGGAUUGUCAACAAAAUUUCCGGGAAGAUGUCUUCUAUUCAUACAUUCCCCUGCACAAGAUGAAAUAGGAAAAUAUCAGGGUAAAACUGUAUGAGUGAAUAUAUAAGCUCAAUCAUAUUAGUGAUGCGAAUGAUAACUCAAAAUCCUUUAUUCCAUUCUUGAUUAGUAAUCAACCUUCUCCGGCAACGGCGCCAAAAAUGCUUGUUGGGUAUUAUUGACAUCAUUACCAAAAGUAGACUAAGUUCUCUAAAUCUAGUAACGGUGCCAAAAAUGCCAAACCUAUCCCUCACACCACUUAAGCCAAGUUGUCAUCCCCAGCAUGAUAUAAGAGACGCGGUAUUGAAAUAUGCAAUUGCUCUUCUAAAUAAAUAAUGAAUGGGAUCUGUAAGCGCACAGAUUAAUACCGAUGCAGCAUUUUAACCGAGAAGUAUUCCAAGUAUCGUUAUUUAUAUUUUUACCACUAGGAAGGGAUUAGCAAUCAUCACUAUUGAUUACAGAAUAGAAUAUGAGAUUGAGUAUCUAUCAUUGCGUGUAUAAUUGAGAACAUUUAUCUAACUCUUUCAUACAGGGAUAAGUGUCACAUAAAAGAUAUAUGAAAUAAUGAAUAGUGACAAAGAUAAUUAAUCUGAUCAGCCACAUAUAAAUAUGAUAAGCACCUCAAUUAGAUACUCUAGAAAGUCAUUAGCAUGGUAUUAGAACGAACUACAAGAAUAUUUCCUAAGUUAUUCUCAACUAUAUAGUCUAGCAUUAUCAUAGUUAGUGCAAGCAUACUUAGCAAUCAUUGUGAGACAAGACUACGCCCAUGCAAAGUGAUAUUAGCAAGGUAAAUGAGAAACAUAGCAAUCACUCCCCUGUAAUAAUAUUGCUCUGCCAGCCCAAUACACGAGAGGGGGACUAUAUAAGAAUCAAUGAAGCUGUCACUAUCCCGAACUACCCCACGAUCUGGCAUAUUGGGUACAAUCGCAGAUAAAUACGGUAUAAGCACCACUCCUAUACAAUAUCUAUCAUUUACCCAUGGAUCCAAUGGAUAAACGCUAUACGAUCCUAAGCAUGUAUAUAGAUCCAAUCUAACUAAGCCAAGUACAUAACUAUGAUAAACUAAGAACAAUAUAAUCUUGAAUAUAAGCAAGUAGAGCAAAGUCAUAAGCAAUAUAUUGAAGUAGAACAAAGUCAUAUUCAUAAUAUUGAAGAACAAAGAUAAUUAGAAAGCAAUUAGAAGCACAAUUAGAGAAUUACCAAGAAUCCUCUUGACAGAUCUGGAAACCAAUCGAAGAUUUACUCCUUCUAGAUCUAGUCCUAUGUAGCUAUGCUAAUCUAGAUAUCUAAUUGAUGUGGUGGCUCUAAUCUUGAUCAGAGGCUUCUUCUCCCUUGAAGAAUAAUGAAUUAGGGUUGAGAGGCUCUCUCCUCCAGGGGCCAGGGGGUCUGGUUUUAUAGUCCCUUCAUGUGAAUAUGGGCCGUUGGAUCAAACCGACAUUGAUUGAACGGUUAUCCUUGAUCCUUUAGGUAGGUGGAGAUCUCCCACGGAGCAGAGUCCUGAUUGGACUCCCAGAGGGGGCGGGCGCCCAGGGCAGGAGGGCGGGCGCCCUGCCUCUGGCCCCGUUUCGCCUCCGCUUCGGUCUCGUGGCUUCUGGAGUCUUCUAGAUGUAAGAUAAUUGCGCGGCACGUUAAUAUCUCUAUGUAAUCCCGACAUGUGGGCCUUUCUUCUGUAUUUCCUGAUAACCCCCUGCAGAAAUAGACAAACACCAAAACUCGUGGAAUUCUGUCAGAUAAAACCCUAAGUCUAGAUGUUGAUUUCAUUUGGAUCCUUUUCUUUAUUUAUUUGAUAAUUAAAUUUGAUACUUAAGGACCGUCAAUAGGGUCGUCUUGAGCAGCCCGCCAUGUGUAGAUGCUUUUUAGGACGCGACAUUCCUCCAUCGUGUGGUUGGAUUUUGGAUGCAGUUAGCAUGGUCCCUUCAAAGUCUUGUUGUAGUCUUCCUGGUAGUCUCGCCGCCCAUUAGGACGUUUGACCGUUUUUACCUCGUGGUCGUGGUCGCGAGGGCGCUUGCCCCUGAAAUUGUCGCGAUUGUCACGCCGCCUGUCCCAGCCUUCUCUGUGGUCCCGAUUGUCGGGGCGACGAUGGUUCCUAUUGUCGAAGCGGCCGCGACUGUCGUCACGCCGAGGAGGCUGGUCGGGACCUCUGGCAUCAUCUCGGAUGAGUUUUUCUGUGUUGUCGGCGUCGGCAUAAUUUUUAGCCGCGGCGAGGAGCUCUGCCAUCGUUGUUGGCCUUUUGCGCAGUAGCUUGUUCCUCAGUGCUUCGUGGAAGCGCAGCCCUUUGAUGAAAGGAGAUAUGGCCUCGUCGUGGGAAAUCUUCGGGAUCUUAAGGCGCAUAUCCGAGAAUCAUCGGAUGUAAUCGCGCAGAGGCUCGUUUUUCCUGUCCCUUAUCCUUUCGAGGUCGUACUUGUUCCCAGGCUGCUCGCAGGUGGCGAUGAAGUUGUCGAUGAAAGCUUGGCGUAGUUGUUCCCAGGAGUCGAAAGAGUCCUCGGGCAGGCCUAGGAGCCACUGGUGACCAGCCUGGUCGAGGACUACUGGGAAGUAGUUGGCCAUGACGUGCUCAUCUCCUGCUGCUGAUCGGACGGCGAUCUCGUAAAGAGUGAUCCAGUUCUCUGGGUUUUCUUUGCCGUCGUAUUUUUUGAGUUUUUUGAGCUUGAAAUUGCGGGGCCACACGACUUGGCGGAGGUGUGAAGAGAACUGUCUCAAGCCCGGAGGACCGUGCGUUGCAUCGUACUCAAUGCGACGCAGGUUUUCGUGAACUGCUCUUUCCGUGGCGCGCCUGUUUAUGCGGUCCCGGGCGUCUUUGGGAGGGAUAUUGUAUCGGAGAUCCCUGUGCUGGUUUACUUCCAGACCACGCCUGCGAUUCUGUUCGCGGUAGCCGCCAGCGUCCCGACCACCAUUGUCACGCCGUGAAUUUUUUCGAUGAUCGUUAGGGGAACGGCUGCGGUGGUGGUCGCUGGGUUGUGGUGAGGUCCGGCUGUGAUGGGUCUGGUCGGAGGAGACCUCUGCAUAGGAGAUAGCUUGGACUCUUUUGAGCAGAGUGGCUGUCUGUCCCAUCGCGGCGAUCAGGUGUGCUCGAACGCUGGAUCGGACACCCUGGCAUUCGGGAGUAUCAGGGAGUCGAUCUAAAUUGGCCAUGGCGACGUCCACGUUGGCGCUUGGCGUUUUGUAGACUGGCUGAUCCCCGACCAUGUCGAAGGCGUCGGUGAGAUUAUGCGGUGGGAGUUGGCGUUCUUCGUCCGCACGUCGUCGGGCACGGUCGGCAUUGCGCUGCUCGCGGAGCUGCCUUUGCUCGUCUGUUUCUCCAUCAACGACCGGCUCGUCGGCGCUGACGUUGAAAACGAGGUCCCCUCGCCGGGGUGGGAAGACCGGGAAGCGAGAGAAACCCAGAGGAUAUGGUGGCAAAUCCAGGUCAUAGUCCUCGUCCUCGGAGUUCAUGACUUCAGUAGGAACGGAACCGGUGCUCGAAUUUGUGCUGGAAGCCUGGCCGUCCCGUAGUUCUCGGAUCGUCACCAUGUUGACGUAGUGACGAGUUGGUCGACCGCUUCACUUUGGCAACCAACCAGCCUUGUUGAAGAGGGAUUGGAUGUGCCACGAGUAGAGAGAGGCCGAGUUGUUCAGACCGCAAGGAUAACCUUGCUCUGGAUCAGCCUCGAGCUUAACGGACCAUACUGAGGGGGUGGAGGUUAUCGUCAGAGACGUUCCCAGCCGUUCGUGUGUGACGACACGAGUUGGCCGGUAGGAGUUGAAAAAACCCGUCGGUGCGGCUUGGUCAGGCUGACGCGAGAUCCCAUCUACUAGUCGGGAAGCUUCGAGAAGCUUCGAAUCAGCGCGAUCAAGGGCUCGGAGAAGAUCCGAGCCAUCGAUCUUCUUUUCCUUGUAGCGCGGAAGCGGUGGUCGGGUGCUCGGCGCCAGCAUCUGUGUGGUCGGAGCCGAUGCCGCCGUCAUCCCAGAUUGGAUCUGGGUUUCUUCCGAAACCGUGGUUGUGAGGCCACCGCCGCAACUCAUCCACGUGAUCUGGCCGACAGUGAACGUGAGGCCUUCAGGCACGGCCGCGGAAGCUGGAACGGUGACCAUCUUGUUCGCCGGAAAAGCUGGACGCACACCCCCUACCUGGCGCGCCACUGUCGACGAAAGCUAGUCGGCAGUCUACCUUAGGGUAUACCCACGGUAAUAGUUUAUCGGUAGACGGUGCGCAAGCAACGAACUCGAUGGUGACGCAAGACAAGGAUAAGCUUUUUAUCCAGGUUCGGCCGCCGAGCUGACGUAAUACCUACGUCCUGCGUCUUGUUGUAUUGAUUUGUGUUGAGAGAAUAAUGUUGUCCUAGGGGGUCCCUUGCCUGUCCUUAUAUAGUCCGGAGGGCAGGGUUACAGAUCUAGAAACUAAUCCUAGUCGGUUACAAUUGCCAUAGAUAGUUCGAUAUCAAUUCCUAUUUUAACCGACUAGAAUCCUGCUUGAUCUCCACGUCUUGUUUCCUUGCGCGAAACUCCGAGCUGUCGGAUCAAGCCUCGAACUUGUCUCGUAAUGGGCCAAGCCUCCUGGCCCAAGUCUAGCCGUAAGGGUAUAGGGGUUUAUACCCCCACAAUGGUGAAUAUCACGUAUAUCAUGAUUUUGGAGAUAAAUGAUGAUAAAUAAACAUAAUUUACGUUUAAAAAAUACACAAACAAAUUUUCUAUCAAAAACACCUACUUUAAGAUAUUAAAAUUAAAGAAUACAUUUUUGCAUUAACAAAAUACUAAUUAUUUUUCAUAUUUAAGUUUGCUAAUAUAAGAUAUGGAAAGAUUUUAUGUUUCCAAAUUUAUUAUGUAAGCAAUUAGACAAAAAGAAAUGCAUCUAUUAUUUUUUAACAAAUUAAAACCUAUUAUUCUAUUUACUAUGCAAUUAUUAAAAUUAUUCUAAUUAUUGUAAGCAAAAAUAAAUAAGAAACGGUUAAAACACCUUUAGUCCCGGUGCUCAACAACAAUCGGGACUAAAGGUAGCCUUUAGUCCCGGUUCCAGCUAUGAACCGGGACUAAAGGUCCCCGUGGGUAUUUAAGCACACAGUCGUCUUCAUCCUCCAGUGGGUAUUUAAGCACACAGUCGUCUUCAUCCUCCAGAUCGGUGUUGCCCUAGCCGUCUUCACCGCCGUCGCUCCCCGCGCUGCCUCCACAUCCUGCCCGAGCCACCGCUGCCUCCUUCUUCUCCGGCGUAGAGACUCUCCCGGACGAGCGCCGCCGCCGCUUCCUCGCCAGCCGGACGUCCGGCGCCGCCUCCUCGUCAUCCCCGAGCCGUACGUCGUCGUCGCGCCGCCGUGCCGCCUUCGAGCUUCUCCGGCGCCGCCUCCUCGCCCUCAUCGCCCCCGCGGCCACCUCCUCGCGCUCGUCAGAGCGCCCCCGCGGCCGCCUUCUCGCCCUCGUCAGAGCGCCCCCGGCCGUCUCCUCCUGGGCCAGAGAACGCCCGCGCCGCCGUCGUCGAGGGUGAGCACGUACACAGAGAAAAAAAUAAUUAUUGAUGAUGUGUUGUAUGAAUUGUUGAUUUGUUGUAUAAAUGAGAUGAUAUGUUGUAUGAAUGAGAUGAUUUUUGUGAAUUUUAUUUGAAUGAAAACUAUGAAUCUGUUCCCAAAUGUAUGAUAAAAAUCAUUUUAGUGAAUUUUAUUUGAAUCAAAACUAUAAUUUAAACUAUGAAUCUAUUGUGGCCCAAACGCAUGAUAAAAAUCAUUUUAGUAAAUUUUAUUUGAAUCAAAACUAUGAAUGUGUUCCCAAACGCAUGCCCACGAGAAGUACGUACCUCUCGCCAAAACGUACUCCUACAUCUACACUUGUUGUACUCCGAUCGACGAAACACAUGUGCUCACGAAACGUACACUUUUUAAAAAUCAAACAAUUUAAAAUUUUUAUGACAUUUCUAUAAAAGAUAUAAGUAUUAUUAGAUUAAUUAUUUAUAUAUUUUUAUACUAUAAAUUUACUUGAGACAUAAUUAAAAACCUUGUUGUGUAUAGUUGAACUUGAAUAUAGAUAGCACAAGUUACUUUAAUUUAAAUAAAAAUUGGAAUUUAUUCCAUUACUUUAAUUUAAAUAAAAAUUAGAAUUUAUUCCAUUACUAUCCUGUGUUGUAAUUAGUUAGUAGGGAUAGAUAUUGAGAUGAGAUGUAUAAUUUCUAUUUUAUAAUUUAUCUUUUGUAUUAUAUAACUUAUAUGAUAUAAUUUAUCCUGUUUUGUAAUUAGUUAGUAGGGAUAGAUAUUGAGAUGAGAUGUAUAAUUUCUAUUUUAUAAUUUAUCUUUUGUAUUAUAUAAUUUAUAUGAUAUAAUUUAUCCUUUGUUGUAAUUAGUUAGUAGGGAUAGAUAUUGAGAUGAGAUGUAUAAUUUCUAUUUUAUAAUUUAUAUUUUGUAUUAUAUAAUUUAUAUGAUAUAAUUUAUUCUGUGUUGUAAUUAGUUAGUAGGGAUAGAUAUUGAGAUGAGAUGUAUAAUUUCUAUUUUAUAAUUUAUCUUUUGUAUUAUAAUUUAUAUGAUAUAAUUUAUCCUGUGUUGUAAUUAGUUAGUAGGGAUAGAUAUUGAGAUGUGAUGUAUAAUUUCUAUAUUAUAAUUUAUCUUUUGUAUUAUAUAAUUUAUAUGAUAUAAUUUAUCUUGUGUUGUAAUUAGUUAGUAGAGAUAGAUAUUGAGAUGAGAUGUAUAAUUUCUAUUUUAUAAUUUAUCUUUUGUAUUAUAUAAUUUAUAUGAUAUAAUUUAUCCUAUGUUGUAAUUAGUUUAUGUUAGCCCUUAGUUGUAAUUAGUUUAUUGUUAUAUAUGUAUCAUGUAUAUAAAAGCUUAAUUAGUUUAUGUUAGCCCUUAGUUGUUGUAUCGAAUAUUUUCGAAACUAAACAAGUCUUUAGUUGUUGUAUCAAAUAAUUUAUGGAAUAAAAGCUUUAGUUGUAUCCAAAUAUUGUAGCCUAUCUAAAUAAUUUAUGUUGAUCGCGUCAAAAACUUUUAACACUUGAUUAAAUUUGCAGAAAUGGUCAAUCCGAAUGACAACAUGGAUGAUGCAAUGAUGGACCUAAUCAACAGUGGCGCCAAUCCAAAUCCCCAAGGCGAAGAUGAUGGGAGUCAGUACUUUGCUGAUUAUGAAGAACUUAUGGGAGACAAUCCUGAUGAGGUCUAUCUAUAAUCUAGUAUAUAUGUAUAUAUAUGAAGUUAAAAUAAAUGGCAUUUGUAUUAAUAUAUUUAUAAUUGUUUGAGUAGCUCUCUAAAUCGGCGACAACUUCUGAGAAGAGUAGAAAAGUGUGCAGCCCGAAGAAGCCGUUGGAGGGUCGGUAUAUUCUGUCAGAAUUCGAUGAGGGUACAGGACAAGUGCUUGGGGCCAAUUCUAAAAAAAUUUGUUGCGCACUGUGGGUACCUUGUAAGGGACAGGCUCCCGAUCAGUGCUCGUGAAUGGAGGCAACGAAAAGAUAACUCUAAUAUUAGUUUUGUCUCAGAUCGUGACAAGGAAUUGAUUUGGCUAGAUAUCCUUCAACAUUUCACGCUCGAUACACAAGAUGAAGCUUUGAAGGAGAAGGUUAAAAUCUGGGCUAUGCAGAAGAUGGCCAAACAAUUUCAAGCUUGGAAGAAGACAUUAUACAAGACUUUUGUUGCACAAGGCCGGACACCGGAUUUCACCAACAAGGCCUACGUCAAGUUGAGGCCUUUUUGGAUGAGUUCAUAGAGUUUAAGAACUCAGAAGAGGGUCAGGCAUGGAUGAUCAAGAAUCAAGAAAAUGCUAAACAAAAGCAAUAGCACCAUCACUUGGGUUAGGUGGCUAUAGGACUGCUAUUCCUAAGUGGCAAAAGCUGGAACAGGAGAUUCUUGGGGGAGAGAUCGAACCAGAAUCAAUGCACUGGCCUGAGCGCGCCAAGUAUUGGUUCUUCGGUCACGGGGGAACAAUAGACUUAGAGACUGGAAAGAUAGUGUAUGGCGAAAAGCUCGAGAGAGUAGGACAGAGAAUGGCCUAUGCUAGAGGAUUAGUUGAAAGUGGCACCUGGCAGCCAAAUAGAGAAAAGGAUGAGCUGACAUACGCCCUAGAGACUGAUGAACAUGGUGGGCAAACAAGAGUCUAUAGGGAGGUAUCGUGGGAGCAUGGCUUCCCUAAAGAUGGACUGACUUAUAGAAGCCGCCAAAGAAAGAAGGAAGAGGAAGCGGAGCGGUUGCGUAGGUUGGAGGCAAUGGUGAUGGAGUCACGUGAAGCCGCUCGUGAAGCGAUAGCGCGAGAGAAAGCGCUUGAAGAGAGAAUGAACGAGGAGAUCAAAAGACAAGUGCAGAUGGCAGUAAGUUCUAUACAAGGGCAAACUGCAUCAGAGCCUAGAGUCAACAUUAGCCCCCCCCGAUCAAUUGAAAAGCAGUUGCGCUUCCACGGAGAUGCCAACUAUUAAAGAUGACGUGGGGCUACACUUUCCGGUGGAUGACAUCACUGAACCUCUGACAACAUGUGAGCUGCACAUUCCACAGGGGACUGCCACAGUCAUGGUUGUUGUCGCUGUUGUAACUCCUGUCGACCCUACAAAGACACCAAGAAUCCAUGGGGCGAUAGUUCCACCUGGAUAUGCUAGUGUCUCGGUGGAUAGAGUUGUCAAAGGCUUCAGUAAUGUGCAGCUUGAGAUAGAAGGAGGUGACGGAGAGAAGACUCUAGGAGAAGCAGAGAAGACUUUUAUUUGUUGGCGCAAGCGCUACAUCAUUAAUCCUGGGGCAUCACCUAGUAGUCUAUCACCACCUCCUCGUCAUGAAUCUAAUUCUAGGUGCAGAUGAAAAUUGACUAUACAUUUGUUCACUUACUUUAUUUUGCAUUCUCUUAGUUAGCGAUUUACUCAUAUACCUUUUGGUUUCACAGGUGGUCACCAACAUGUCAUAGUGUUGCGGGUGAUGACGAGGGAGUGCAAGACACGGCUGCAUCGCUUCGGUCUCCAACGACACCACCUCAGGCUACAACGCCACCACCUAGGGCUCCAACACCGCCACCUCGGGCUCCAACACCACCACCUCAAGCUCCAACACCGCCACCUAGGGCUCCAACGCCACCUCCUCGGGCUCCAACACCUACACCGGCCGCCCCGUCGCCUCCACACGUGGCUCCAGCACAAAAGAAGAGGCCGGCCACACAAUCAAAUGUGUCAGCCGCCCCGCCGCCAAAAAAGAAAGCCUCCGAAAAGAAACAAGCUAUCAUUCCUAAGAAGCUGGUCUAUGAGAUGACUGAUGCAGAACUAAAUGCUUUAGUAAAAUCAGACGUGGAUAGUUUCUUCAAGAAACUUAAGACUGAAAGAGAAGCCAAGCGAAACCCUGAGAAACCAUACCUCUUACUACGGCCAGAAGAUCUACGACAAAGGAUUGAGGCUCAACAAAAAAAGAGGCAUGAAGCUCAGAAAGAAUCAUCAUCUUUAUCGGACUACGAUCGCACUUUAAGGACAUCCAUAGAAGAAGAGAAGAAGAAAGAGAAAAGAGCACGCAAGGGUGUAGCAUAGCUCGGGGAACAAUAAAAGUAAUCAGUGCCCUGCUAGUAAUUGGAAAUGAAUAUGGUUCGAACAUUGACGUGCUAGACCGGCAGAUACCGGCAGAUUUAAAAUUUGAUGAGCUUGAAAAUUUUUUUGCAGAAACUGGUCUUAGCUUAGCCCAAAUGAUAGCUGGGGCACCAAUUGAAAGUGCUCUAGAAAUUGAUCAUUGGCAGAAGGAAUAUACAUAUGGCAAGAGUUUAUACAACCCUGCGGCCCUCAGCAAACUUGGAACGCAAAUGUACAUGCUAAACAAAUGGUACAUGGCAGCGUGUGUCAGAAAAGCAGAUGACUAUCUUUGUGUCCGAAUUAGAAACUAUCAUUACUUCCGUGGUGAUGAUAUUAUUUAUGUUCAAUUUAAUGAGCUACACCAACUAUUUCACAUGGACGCUCUUGACAAAUCUCGAAUGAGUUGCUUCUGUCUGUAAGUGAUUCUUUCUUUCAAUAAUGUCACCGUAACUUAUCAUGUAUAUAUAUAACUAAUUAUAGAAACCCGCUAUACAUAUGUAGAAACAUGAUGAGGGACCUCAGAGUUAGAAAUGACAAGGAGAUUGGAUUUGUGGAUCCAAAUGUUGUAUUCAAAGACCACAAGACCCCGUAUGUCUUAUGGAGAACUCAAACGGAGAGAAAUCUAUGGAGGUUCUUGAUCAACCAAAAAGAUAAAAGAUAUAUACUCUUUCCCUACAACUUUAAGUAAGUGUCGUUAUCGUGUGUACAUUCUAUUUAACUAAUUAAUCAGAUCAGUAUGAAGAUAUAUACUAAUUUUGCCUACAUAUGCACACAAAUGCAGCUUUCAUUGGAUACUAAUUGUCAUUGAUCUCUGGCAAUGUCAAUUGCUAAUCUAUGUGUUGGUGCAAAAGCUGAUCUACAAACACAAAGGGCUAAUACCCGAUUCAAACGUUAAGGCGUGCCAGCUGAUUUGACCUUACUAUCGGCAAAGGUGGUAACUCGAAUACUUUAGUCCUGACAACAGCGAUGCGCCCGGAUGUCACGGCUAAGAGGUACUCACGCGGAACUUGAGAACACGCCGAGCUUAAGUCGAUGAAUUCCUAAGAACUCGUAGUGAAAAGGAAAAAGUAUGACGAAGUCGUCGAAAAAGUAGGUGCUAGAAUAUGAGUAAAAACGUGUGUUUGAUUGAUUGAUAGAUGCUUCAUUACAAGGCCCUAGGGUCUAUAUUUAUACCCUGUUCAAAGAGCUACAACCAGACACGACUAGAAUUCGAAUUCCAAAUUACAUAGAAUCCGUAUGCAAAACGAUUUAAAUAACUAAGGAAAAUAUAAAGCUAUCCCCUCGUGACAAACUGGAACAUCUCCACAAACCGAUCGGCAACUCCCGGACUCUCCCUCCGUAUCAUCAACAGACUCCCUUGUCAUAAUCAUCGGCAGACUUCCUUAUCGUAGCCAUCGGCACAGACACAUCACCAUCUACAGACUUAGUCACGUUCAAUCUCUCCUUCAUCGGCAACCACCCUCAUCGGCAAUUCAUCCUGUAGACAAAACACCAUCGUCUUAUCCUGCCGGCCUGUACUCUACCAAACAUGGACACGUGCCCAAAAAACGGUGUCAACACAUGCCCCCCAAUUUCGGAGUAUGAAAUCGUUAAUGCUUCGAAAUUCUCUGCAGUAAUGAUGCCUUUUCCCGCAAUUAAUGCUUCUAUCCUGGUAACCGACAACCUCAAUCUGAACAACUCUGACCCUGUUCUCUUGUAAAUCCCUUAAAAUCCUCAACUUCCCAAACGGACAUUUCCUUUUCGGUCGCACAUCGGCAAUAUUACCGUUGCAAAGAUUUGCUGAUAGACUGACCAGGAUACUCGUACCUUAUCUCCCCAAACGGCUAUCUCCACUUUAUUUGCCCAUCGGCAAUAUGACCGUUACAACACAAUCCCUUGAUUACCGUGCAAACAGUUACCAUAUCUACCAUGAGCACCCUCGGAUUUCUCGGAUGCGGCAAAGAGAUAAGUCAGAUUUACCCCUGCCCGUUUUGUCUUAUAAGUAGUUCCUUCUCGGGUACUCCUUCUCCAUCACAUCAUUCUACAACUCCAACCUCACCUUUCCAGCGGCGGCGCUAUUCCAAAAAGCUCCAAGAUCUCCGACUAGGCUCCUUCCUCACCAACUCCAAAACUCUCAAUCUUCUCCUCUGUGGAAAAAUGGCCGUCAACUUCAUCAUCCCCGAGGUCAGUUCUUCGCACCAUCUCUUGUACUUUUCUCGCACCCUCGUUCAUCUGCAAUCCGCCGUACUGAAUAUUUUUUCCCUUCUCUUUUUUUUUGUUUUUUUUAUACCUCCAAAACCAUUAGGAAUCGGCUAACAAAAUUGUCAUCCCAACUGAUCGACCACAUCUCCAAUGCCUUGGCCCGUUAGGGGAUCCAGAUCCAACCGAUCUCAUAAACGCAGAAACCAACAGGAUCCCUUUCAGGGCAGAGAACUUUUCCUUGGAUCUGUGGAAGGACACUUUUCGUUCCUGGCCCAGCCCUACCGUGGGGUGGACAGAUUGGUUUCUGAGAGUCAACAACUCGAAUGAAGUCGAAUGGGGUGAAAGAAAUCUAGCCCAAUGCAUUAGGUUGUCUAUUGCCGAUAUGCAUAGGAACGAGUCACUGCUGAUAGCUGCAUCAUACUUCUGGUCAGACACGCUCAAUGCCUUUGUCUUUGGCCAUGGCCCUGUUUCCCCCACUCUUGCCGAUGUGGCUAUGCUCACCGGGUUAGAUAUUUCUUCUGCCGAUAGCACCCACUUCUUCGAUACUAAACCCAGUGCUAAGGUAGAAACCCGCGCCAUCGGCGGCUGGUCAGGGUAUAUCCAGAAAUACCGCAAAACAGGCCCUGUUGACGCAAAAGAGCAGACCUGCUUCUUGAACAUGUGGCUAGACAAAUUCAUGUUUUGUGGCCGAUCGGCAGGACCAACUUCUGUUCAUCUAGCAGCAGCGGAAAAUCUGGCCAAUGGUGGCCGAUUUCCCCUUGGCCGAUACCUACUUGGAGCGGCCUAUCACCUCCUCCAUCAAGUAACUAAGAAGCUCUUGCUUGGCCAGUCUAUCGGCAACAUGGGAGGCCCCUGGUGGUUUAUCAAUAUGUGGCUCAAUCUGCAUCUGCACAAGCGCCUUCAAUUUAACCUGUUCACAUAGCGUUUCCCAAUGGACAUAACCGAAAAUCAUGUGUUGGGUGAGGAGGAAUCUGCAAUACGUGCUCCCUUAAACUUCGGCGAGGCUGUCAUAGUUUUGCCUGGUUCAGGGGGUAACCCAGAUCAGGUCAGCCGAUUCUUCCAAACUCUGUAUGAGGGCUUGGCCAGAGAUGAGCGAGCAUGGUUAGCCUAUGAUGACCCAGACAGUAUGCUUCCCUUGGUUUUCAACCCAUUUGAUGAAGCUCUUGACCGGGAUAAUGAAGUGAUGAUAGCAAUAGUGACUCCCAGAGCCAUACCAGUGAAUUUCUUUGGUAGUGGGAAAACCUCCCCUCAGACUUAUGAAUUUUACAACCCAUCGGCACUAGCCCGUCAGUUAGCUUUCGGCCAGCUGCCGAUCGCGCUCUGCUACGCCGAUGUGAUAAAGCCCAGGGAAACCAUCAACAGUCUCCUUGAAUGGAUCUGAGUAGCCCAACUGCCAUCGAGUGCCGAUACAGACGUGGAUUUAUCAGAGUGGGUUCCAGCCGCUUUCAUCACUCAGGCAUACAAACAGUGGUGGGCAGAAUGGAAGGAGCAUCUGUUCUGUAAAUCGGCCCUCACGUACCGCGGCAAGAUUGACCCCGAGUACGAAGUUCCCAAUGACACUGUAAGUGUUUUCGAACCAAUGUUUCAAUUCUUUCAAUCCUAUUUCUAUUGGCAAUUUACUUUUGAACUUUUCUACAGGUUGAUGAUACCCCUCCAUCGGUCAGUAAAAGUGGCAAGCCGAUUGAUCUAUUUGCAUCAGGCCCAAUCUCUUCAAUCGGCCACAACGCUCCUACCUUGGCUUCCAUCGUGCAUCGAGGUAUACGCCUGAGGAAGGUCACCACCAGGAAGACCCAGACUUCACCAUCGGUAGCUGCUUCCGCCCUAGCACAGGCUUUUAAGGUAACUGCUAACCCUCUUCAUUUAUACCGAUCUUUACCUUUACAUCGGCUACACUUGUAUUCACAAAUCCCUCUUUGCUGUUACAGCAAACCAGUGCAUCGGCAAAAACCAAGAGCCAAGGUGCGGAUGCCCCCCAGUCCAGCCAGCAGAAGAGAAAGGGUGCCAAGAGUACCAGGGCAGAAACAAAGCGCCAGAAAGUGGCAACUCCUCCUCCUCCUCCUCCGGUAUCUCCCAUUCCGGUGGAAUCUUCCCCUUCUCCUCCAGACGUAGAGAUUCAGCAAGCACCAUCUCCCCCUCCAACGCAAGAAGCACCACAGGUAGAAGAAACUCAACUAGAAGGACCCCAACAAGAAGUACCUCAGCCAGAAGACACAUCGGCUGACGUUCAUGAACCAACCACCGAUCCAGCAGGUUUCAUUAUAACAUCGGUGGUUUCCUCCAUUCAGACGAGUACCGUCCUUCCUCAAUGUAACAUAUUUGCAAAGUUAAUACCGACGAACCCAUCUUUUCAUCUCAUAAUGACUUUUAAUUUCCAGCUGACGUCGUUCCAUCGGCAACUUUGGCCGAUCAAUCUGUAGCUCCAUCGGCAUCUCUAACCGAUCAGCCCACGGCUCCAUCGGCAUCUUCCAGUCAAAGGCAAGAGAUUGCCUUGAAGCAAGUAAGUUAUCCAGCUCCCAUCAAUAUUUUUACCGACAUUUUGUUCAUGGACUGACUCACUUUAUUUUCCUUUUCAGGAGCAGGACUCUCCUGACAGCCUAUUCUCUUUUGCUAUUGACAUCUCCGAUGAUGAAGGCGAGGAAGCGAGCUCUUCCCGGGCAGUUGGGAUCGCAUCGGCAGAGAUCAGAGCCAAGCUGGAAGAACUAUCGGCUCGCCUUCAUCAGGAUACGGCACAACUGGUCGAUGACUCCGACCCAGCCAAGGUUCUGUUCAGGACUCUCAGAGGCCAGAUUCCAGCCGAUGUCGAAGAAAUCCUCUUCCAAGCUGCACAUCUGGAGAGUCGUCAGCUGCAGUACCAGAGGGCUUCUCGGCGCCUUGCCGACAGAGCUGCUCAGACCCAGCUUUCUGAAGAAAUGAUGAAAGAGAAGCUCUUGACCGAUGAGAAGCACAAUAACAUCGGCACCUUGAGAUCUUCAGGAGACGCGCUGAAGCAGAAGAUUUCUGACCUAUCGACAAAAAGAGAAGCCCUGCUGGUGGAACUCAAGCGAGUGGAAGACGCCUUAUCCCAAGCUCAACAGGAAGAGAGCCAACUUCCAGAGACCAUCAAGCUCCUUGAGCAAGAACGAAACAUCCACGGGCGCAAGGCACUGCAGUUGAAGAAAAAGCUGAAACCGAUAGAAGGCUCCGCCGAUGACGAUAUUAGGGAGAUAGAGGCAGCCAACCAAAUCCAGCUGCGCGCCAUAUCAGCAAUCCAGGCGCUGCUGAACGCAUGAAACUCCCAUUAGCGACACAUCUUUAUUCCUCUGCACCUCCAGUUUCUUUGCUGUUUUAAUCUAGCCGAUAGGAUUGUUAUCGGCAACUUUUGAAACACUAAGUUCGGCCUCAGAUACAUUUUAAUCCAGCCGAUAGGAGUGUUAUCGGCACUUAAAUCUUCAUGCAUCGACCCAUAUACUGGGGUAGUAUUUCUUUAAAUAUUUGCCAUUUAACGCUCUGGGAAACUCAACUCCUUCGAGAGUUUCUAGAAUGUAGGCGUUACCAGGAGCCGAUCGACUUAUCCGAUAGGGACCUUCCCAAUUAGGAGACCAUUUUCCAAAUUUUGAACUUUUAGUCCCGAUCGGUAAGAUUAAUUUCCACACUAAGUCUCCAUCGGCAAAUUCCUUAGCCCUUACUUUCUUAUCGUACCAUCUAGCAACCCUUUUCUUAUUUUCUUCUAUGUUCAUCAAAGCUUUUAGCCGAUACCCUGCUAGAUCAUCCAACUCGUCUGUCAUCAAAGUAGCAUAAUCAUCGGCAGCUAACUGAUCCUGAAAAGAUAGCCACCUAGACCCAGCCUUAAUUUCCCAAGGCAAUACCGCAUCAUGUCCAUACACCAAUUGAUAAGGUGCAACCUUAGUUGAUCCAUGACAAGCCAUGCGAUAGGACCAUAAGGCUUCGUUUAACAAUGCGUGCCACCUUCUAGGAUUCUCUUCGAUCUUCCGUGUAAUAAGCUUAAUAAUUCCUUUGUUGGACGCCUCGGCCUGCCCAUUGGCUUGAGCAUAGUAAGGAGAAGAAUUCAAUACCUUAAUCCCCAUACCGAUUGCGAAUUCAUCAAACUCCCCUGAUGUAAACAUAGUACCCUAAUCGGUAGUAAUUGUUUGAGGGAUUCCAAAUCGGUAAAUGAUAUGCUCCUUCACGAAAUCAAUCAUAUUGGCCGACGUGACCUUCUUUAAAGGAAUGGCUUCAACCCAUUUGGUGAAAUAAUCAGUGGCAACCAAAAUAAACUUAUGCCCCUUGCUAGACGGUGGAUAAACUUGGCCGAUCAGAUCAAUAGCCCAUCCCCGGAACGGCCAAGGUUUGAUAAUAGGAUUCAUGGCCGACGCGGGUGCUCUUUGAAUAUUGCCAAACUUUUGACAUCCUUGACACCCUUUGAAAUAUUUAAAGCAAUCUUCAAGUAUGGUUGGCCAGUAAUAUCCAUUCCUCCUAAUCAUCCACUUCAUCUUGAAAGCCGACUGGUGUGCUCCACAUACCCCUUCAUGGAUUUCUCCCAUCAAACUUCUAGGUUCAUCAUCACUCAAGCACCGAAGAAGAAUUCCAUCAAUAGUUCGGUAGUACAAUUCAUCUUCGAGGAGCACAUACUUGGUGGCUUGAAACCGAACCCGUCUCUCAACUUUCUUGGACGGAUCUUUCAAGUAAUCAACGAUUUCUUUUCUCCAAUCAUCGGCACCAAUUGCCGAUAUUGCAUUAAUUAUAGGCUGAUAUCCCGAAGCAUGCUGAGCCAACCGAUUCGCCUCUUCAUUAUGCAAUCGAGGAACAUAUUCUAAUCGGAAAUCCUUGAAUUCCUUUAACAAUUGCAUACUCUUCUCGUAAUAAGUUAUGAGAACUUCACUUCGGCAUUCGUAGCUCCCAGCUAAUUGAUUUAUAACUAGCAUAGAAUCCCCGAAGACCUCAACAGCAUCAGCAUGAACCUCUCUCAACAACUCUAAUCCCUUUAUUAAAGCUUGAUACUCAGCCUGAUUAUUUGUUGAUGUAGCAACAAUCGGCAAGGAAAAUUGAUACUUCCUUCCCCGAGGGGAAACUAGUAUUAUGCCGAUUCCCGCCCCCCGGUCACAUGUAGACCCAUCAAAGAAAAGCGUCCAAGGCACAAUUUCUAAAGCCUCCACUGUGCCGCAAUGCUGGGUUACAAAAUCGGCUAUAAUCUGUCCCUUAACUGCCUUAGCAGAUUCAUAAUGCAGAUCGAACUCCGACAGCGCUAAAAUCCACUUACCGAUCCUACCACUCAUAAUCGGCAUGGACAGCAUGUACCGAACCACAUCAUCUUUGCAAAUAACAGUGCAUUCGGCCGAUAGCAAGUAAUGCCUCAACUUGAUGCAAGAGAAAUAUAAGCACAAACACAAUUUUUCAAUAGCCGAAUACCUGGUCUCAGCAUCAAUCAACCUCCUGCUUAAAUAAUAAAUUACACGCUUUUCCCUUCAAACUCCUGAAUCAAAGCCGAACCGAUGACCAUCCCAACGGUAGACAAAUACAAUCUGAAGAGCUUUCCUUGCUGAGGUGGAAUUAGAACUGGAGGAUUUACUAAAUAAUUCUUGAUUUCAUCCAGAGCCAACUGUUGUUCUUUUCCCCAAACAAAAUCUUGAUCGGCCUUUAACUUAAGAAGAGGACUGAAAGCACGAAUUUUACCAGAUAAAUUAGAUAUAAAUCUUCUGAUAAAAUUUACCUUGCCGAUCAAGGAUUGGAGCUCGGUCUUGUUGGUAGGGGCCACUAUCUUAUCGAUGGCAUCGAUAGAUCUUCGACUUAUCUCAAUCCCCCUUUGAUGCACCAUGAAACCAAGAAAUUGUCCCGCCGAUACACCGAAUGCACACUUAUUGGGAUUCAUUUUCAAACCAUGCUUCCUUGUGCACUCUAACACCUUUCGCAAAUCGGCAAGAUGUUUUGCGAAAUCUCCAGACUUAACCACCACAUCAUCAAUAUAAAUCUCCACCAGCUUACCGAUGAACUCGUGGAAAAUAAAAUUCAUGGCCCUUUGAUAUGUAGCAUCAGCAUUCUUUAGGCCAAAGGUCAUGACUAUCCAUUCAAACAAUCCAACAUGACCGGGGCACCUGAACGCAGUCUUCGGGAUAUCUUCUUCAGCCAUGAAUAUUUGAUUGUACCCUGCAUUGCCAUCCAUAAAGCUAAUGAUCCGAUGCCCAGCCGCGGCGUCAACCAACAGAUCGGCAACUGGCAUUGGGUAUCCAUCCAUUGGCGUAGCUUUAUUGAGAUUCCUGAAAUUAAUGCAGACCCGAAGCUUCCCGUUCUUCUUGUAGACCGGAACAACGUUGGAAAUCCACUCGGCAUACCGACACUGCCGAAUAAACUUAGCUUCAAUAAGUUUGGUGAUUUCGGCCUUCAUAUCAGGGAGGAUGUUAGGAUUACAUCAGCGAGCUGGCUGUUGAUGUGGCCGAAAUCCAGACUUGAUAGGCAACCGAUGUUCAACAAUUGAUCGGUCCAAACCGGGCAUUUCAGUAUAAUCCCAAGCAAAGCAAUCUUUAUAUUCCUUUAACAAAUCGGUUAACUGUUGCUUACACUCAGAAUCUAACUUAGCACUAAUAAAAGUGGGUCUAGGUUUAUCACCACUACCUAUAUCUACUUCUACCAAAUCAUCGGCCGAUGUGAAUCCCUGGCCUAACUUUCCAUCAUCGGCGAACCUAUCCAUUAAAAACCUUCGUCAGAACCGACUGCUUGGAUCGGUGGAAUCUCGUAAUCGGCAACCUUGAGAAAAUCCUUCUCCCAAACUUCUCCUGAAAUACACCUAGUCCUUUCAUAGGUGUCUGCCUCUGCCGAUGCAAUGACAUAAGAAGAAUCUCCCGGGAUAAUCUCAAUUUUGUCUCCUACCCACUGAACCAAGCAUUGGUGCAUUGUAGACGGGAUGCAACAAUUAGCGUGAAUCCAAUCUCUUCCCAAUAGCAAGUUGUAAGCACCCUUUCCACUGAUCACAAAGAAGGUUGUUGGCAAGGUUUUGCUGCCGAUGGUCAACUCUACACAUAUUGCCCCCUUGACUGGAGACACGUUCCCUUCAAAGUCUUUAAGCAUCAUAUCGGUCUUGGUCAAAUCCUGAUCCCCUCUCCCAAGCUUCCAAUAUACUGCAUACGGCAUGAUGUUAAUAGCAGCCCCACCAUCAACUAGAAUCUUGGUCAUCGGCUGCCCAUCAACCCUCCCUUUGACGAACAAAGCCUUGAGAUGUUGUCUUUCGUCAUCGGCAGGUUUCUCGAAAAUAGCCGUCAUCGGAUCCAGAGCCAAUUGAGCUAUUUGGUCGGAAAAUUCCAACUCAUCAUCGCUAGAUGGCGCAAGAAACUCCAUCGGCAACAUAAAGACCAUGUUGACAUCUGCCGAUGGACCUUCCCCCUCGCGAUCUGAUUGCUGCUGAUCUUCAGACUGACUAGAGUUCUCACCCUUGCUUAGCCCUUCUCGCCUUUCGCGCUGCAACCUCCUUUUCUGUGUCUUGGUCAACCCCUCUGGACACCAUGGAGGAAGCGGUCUUUGCCUUGCUGCUGGGCGAUGAUUUUCCCUUGACUCCAUCCGAUGCGUAUUGGCAUCCCUGCAAAAUAUGAAUUCGUCGGGAACUCGUGCAUUAGCCAUCUCCUCAAGUUCUUCCUGGUUCCUAGGAAAAUACUGGACACGAUCACCAAGCCUGUCGUGUACAUUGAGUCUGCCCCCCAGCCGAUCAUGGACGGAUGCUCUCCCUCUAAUCGGCCCAUUGAAGCGCCGAUCAUUAUCACGAUAGUUCCGAUCGGACCUGUCGUACCGAUCGUAACCGUUGCAUUCAGGGCAAUCUCUGACAGUAGGAAGCUUGAUAUUCUCUUCCCAGCAAUGGAUGAAGAACAGGCAAUUCUAGUGAUCCCUAUGCCGAUUCCACUCAUGUCGGCGUCUUUCCUCUUCCCGACGAUAAUCUUCUUGCUGGCGCCAGUACCGAUCUUCUCGUUGCUGCCAAGUUUCCCGAGGUCUUCUGUGAGUUAUUACAAUUCCAGAUCAGGGAGGCCUUCCUGAGCUGGUUCCUUCCUGGACCAAGCCCCUUCCCUUCGCAUCGGCAGUAGUGACUUGAUGCUGAGGAUCCACCCAUGCACUUCUUUCGGCUGCUUCUGAGGUUAAGACCUUGGCUUUUCCCUUAGCAUCCAACAUGUUCGUUGGGAAAGGAUGUUGGUCAAUCUUCAUCGGCUUCUGGGUCUUGGAGUUAUCCAAUUUGAUUCUCCCAGAUUCUAUAGCCGAUUGCAGUUGUUGUCUGAACACCUUGCACUCGUUAGUGUCAUGAGAAGUUGCAUUGUGCCAUUUGCAAUAUUUUAUCCUUUUCAAUUCUUCAGCCGAUGGGAUCACGUGAUUAGGUGACAGUUUCAUCUGACCUUCCUGGAGCAGAAAGUCGAAUAUCCUAUCGGCUUUAGCAGUGUCAAACGCAAAUUUCUCUGGUUCUUUAUGUCCAAAAGGACAAGACAUCGGCUUUUUGUUUUUCACCCACUCUGCCAAGCCGAUGACUGGUUCCUCAUCAGAAUCCGAGCUUGUUGCUUCAUCAACGAACGACACCUUUUUGUUCCAUGCUCUCUUGGGUUCAAACGGCUUGAUGUCUUGAUCAGAGAUCCUUUGCACCAGAUGACUUAAGCUUUCAAACUCCUGAGAUGCAUAUUUGUCCCUGAUGUGUGGCAACAAACCCUAGAAAGCCAAAUCGGCUAGCUGCCGAUCGUCCAGAACCAGACUAUAGCACUUGUUCUUGACUUCCCGUAUCCUCUGUACAAAACCCUCAACCGAUUCAUCAUUACACUGCCUUAAUUUGACCAAAUCGGUGAUCUUCUUCUCAUGGACCCCAGAAAAGAAGUAUUUGUGGAAUUAUUUUUCCAGAUCGGCCCAAGUAAUCACUGAGUUGGGAGGUAGUGAUAUAAACCAGGUAAAAGCCGACCCAGACAAUGAUGACGAAAAUAAAUGAACCCUCAAUUCGUCCCUGUUACCAGCUUCACCGCACUGAAUAAUGAAUCUGUUGACGUGCUCCAUGGUUGACGUAUCAUCCUGCCCAGAAAACUUAGUGAAAUCCGGUACCUUGUACCGAUGUGGAAGCGGGAUCAAGUCGUAUGCAGGAGGAUACGGUGUCUGAUAAGAGUAAGUAUUGACUUUGGGUUUUAUCCCGAAUUGGUCUCUCAUUACUUCAGCAAUCUUAUCGGCCCAGUAUGCAUCGGCAUCUUGCCGAUGGGGCGGUUGCGGAUCAGGUGCCUGCUGGUAGGCCUCCACGUGUCUGUUCGGUGCACGAUCUGCACGGAACAUUGGGUUGAUCAUCUGGCCUCCAACCUGUGGACCACCAAGCUGUUGCCCGCCAAUCUGCUGUCCGACGAGCUGCUGCCCGAGAUUCAUUGGCUGGUUAGGGAUCCCCUGAUUCUGGAACCCGGGAUAGAUCUGUCCUUGCUGGAACCCUGUAGCCUGGUGACUCUGUUGGGGUGUUUGCGGAAAGACUUGCUGCCCAAGCCAUCCAUUAUUAGCGUUCAUCGGCAUAGGCCCUGCCGAUGACUGGUAAUUGGGCAUCAUCAUUGAAUUGACAUACCCUGAUUGAGCCAUAGACCUCUGUUGCAUCAGCAUCGAGUCUGCCGAUGCGUUAGGCAUCUGGAACAUUGGAGCUUGAGAAUUCCCAGUGUGAGGUCUUGCAGUAGUAGUUAUAGUAUACUGGGGACUCUGGUUCAUCGGCAUAUUGGGAGGUGCCGAUGCCAUAGGAGUCUUGCCUCUCAUAUCAGUCGUCUGCGAUGUACCCGGCGUUAACUCUAGAGGCAUGCCAUAACCCCACCAGUUGGGAGGAGGGGUUAACCCCGUCAUUGCCGAUGCUAACAGAUCUGUGGCAAGUUUAAUCUGCCCAUCCGAAGUCUGCGGAUUAGUUGUCAUCGGCAUAGACUGUCCAUUGGUGACUCCUAACGUGCUUGGUGGAACUGGAAUCUCCAUACCCGCAGCGGCCGUAGCAGCCGAUGGAGCUGUGACCACUGGUGACUUUGGCUGGUGAUAAGUGGGGCCCACAUAAUCUGGUGGCAGUUGUCCCUCCUUGAAAGUUCUCGCCACGGCAUUGAAAACCGUAUUAGACAGUACACCAGCUUGAUUGAUCAAAGCGCGGUUGAUCGCGCUGUCAACCAUCUCUUGAAGCUUGCCAGGAUUGGACUCAAAAGUAACCUGCCGCGGAGCCGGCAGUGCAUCCUUCUGAAUCACCUCACCGCUCCUGUUCAUGCUGAAGGACCUCAGGCAUUGCUGCUUGUAAUCCUCCAUGGCUUUAGCAAUAGCUUGCUUCUGCUCAUCCUUGAGAUUGGCUUCCGUCACGGGGAUGACGUUCUCUUGAUCAAACUCAGAAGUCGACAUGUUGAUCUUGAUCUUGAAUCUGUCCCACUGGGCGUGCCAAAAGAUGUGUUGGUGCAAAAGCUGAUCUGCAAACACAAAACGCUAAUACCUGAUUCAAACGUUAAGGCAUGCCAGCCGAUUUGACCUUACUAUCGGCAAACGUGGUAACUCGAAUACUUUAGUCCUGACAACAGCGAUGCGCCCGGAUGUCACGGCUAAGAGGUACUCACGCGGAACUUGAGAACACGCCGAGCUUAAGUCGACGAAUUCCUAAGAACUCGUAGUGAAAAGGAAAAAGUAUGACGAAGUCGUCGAAAAAGUAGGUGCUGGAAUAUGAGUAAAAACGUGUGUUUGAUUGAUUGAUAGAUGCUUCAUUACAAGGCCCUAGGGUCUAUAUUUAUACCCUGUUCAAAGAGCUACAACCAGACACGACUAGAAUUCAAAUUCCAAAUUACAUAGAAUCCGUAUGCAAAACGAUUUAAAUAACUAAGGAAAAUAUAAAGCUAUCCCCUCGUGACAAACUAGAAUAUCUCCACAAACCGAUCGGCAACUCCCGGACUCUCCCUCCGUAUCAUCAACAGACUCCCUUGUCAUAAUUAUCGGCAGACUUCCUUAUCGUAGCCAUCGGCACAGACACAUCACCAUCUACAGACUUAGUCACGUUCAAUCUCUCCUUCAUCGGCAACCACCCUCAUCGGCAAUUCAUCCUGUAGACAAAACACCGUCGUCUUAUUCUGCCGGCCUGUACUCUACCAAACAUGGACACGUGCCCAAAAAACGGUGUCAACACUAUGACCCGUUGAGAAAACCACAGGACGAUUACCAAGAAAUGAUAGAUAUUAUCCAAGGGUAACUCUGAUCUCUAUAUAUUAAAUUCUGCUCUUUUAACUUGAUAAUAGAUAAUUAAUAAUGAUUGUUUUAUUGCUAGGGUUUGGGCUGGGUUCGUGCAGAAACACCGUCCAGAGUUGAAUGCAGCACUUUCAAAGCCCAUCUUACUUCAGUGGGUUCUACAGCAGACACCGGGCAACAAUUUGUGUAGCUACUAUGUGUGCGAGUUUAUGACGGUCUAUGCCAAAAGAACUAAUCUUGAGCACCUAAAAGUAUGUAACAUGUAUAUAUAAUAAGUUUAUUUUAUUUAUUUGUUGCUAUUUAAUAAAUCUUAUUCAUACCUCUAACUUUUUUCUUUAAUAUCUAUUAAAGGAGAUGUGGCUGAAGGAGUAGUGUUGGAUGCGGUGCGCCUAAAAGGAAUUCAGAAGACAAUCGCAGGAUUUCUUAACGACCAAGUUCUGAAUUCCGGCGGCGAGUGCUACUUCAACCCUCAGGAGCCAAUGAAACCAAAUCAUGAUGAUCAUUUGUACGAUGCUUGAGUGGAGGAGAUAAAUUAUGUUGUAAAUACUUUGUCCAUGAAGCAUAUGUGUAAAUAUUAUAUUAUGGACCUAUAGAUACAUAUAAUAUAUAUAUAGUGUUUUAUAGUAUAUUUAUAUGUAAUGCUUUAAAUUAUAUAAAUUAUAGGUGUGCGUUCCAUAAACACCACUCCAGAUGAGUUUUGUCCCGUCGGCUGGGAGCACUCCCAGCGGCUGCGCGUUCUCGGUCAGAAACGCAGAAGCAUUCCCGACGUUGCCGCUGGACCGUGCUGAAAAGUCUCUCCCGUCGGUGCCUGCCGUCAGGGGCAGAUUUUAGGGCCUUCCCCGCGCACAAUCCAGAGCUUCGCGCCCUCGCGAAUGCUUUUGGCGCGCCGAAACGAAACCUCCCGCGCUGCUGGCCGAGAUGCGCGCCCAACUCCAACGAAUUAUUUCGUGGCUGACCCAUCUCUAUCCUCAAAAAAUCUUCCAUCCCUAUCCAGUUUCCCACCCUGCCUCCACCUCCCCCUCUCUCUCCCCUACCUCCAGAGCUCGUUUCCAUCGCCCAGGCACCCGCGAGCUUGAGACCGGCCGCCGCGCGCCCCCAGCCACAGCAACUGGCCGCUGUGGCACGCCGCCCGCUGCGACUCCGCCCGCCGCCCACCACGACUCCGCCUGCUAGCUGCCGGCCGCGACUCCGGCUGCAACAUGGCCGGGGCAUGACGCGAUGCUGCUGCAAGACACCGCCGCCGCCCACCGCGGCUCCCCCAGCCACCACCUCUGCCAACCACUAGAACGCCGCAGGCUACGGGUGCCUGCACGUAGCCACCACCAGCCCCUCCCGUCGCCCCGAGGCACGAGCCCACCACGGUGUCGUUCGAAUCGACUUCGACGCUGCCGGCCAUCCCUCAACAGCCAACAGCGCUGCCGCACACCACCUGAAGGGCAGCAGCAGCCCCCUCCACAUCCGUAAGGUGCUCCAUCUUUUCUUUUUUUAUUAAGAUUUAGAUUUUUUUCCCCAUCUUCAGAUCCAUCAAUUAUGCAUAUCUUGUAUUUUCUUCUUCCUCUUGUUGAUUAAUGCGCUCAUCUAAUUUUAUUUUGCCUGCUAUGGCAUUUGAAUGUGGUUGGGGCUUCUUCGUUAUUGCAGUUCCUGACGAGCCAGAGCAGCAGUAGCUUGUGAACCAAUCACUACAGAAAAACUGGACUUUGCGGACUGCUAAAAUCCUUUGCCACCUGCCAAAGAAAAAACAGUCGGCAAAGAUUCUCUUUACCAACUGCUUCUAAAAGCAGUCGGCAAAGGAUGGCAGGUGGCAAAGAAAGGCAGUCGGCAAAGACAUCCUUUGCCGACUGCCUGGCAGGUGGCAAAGAAAGGCUGGUGGUAAAGGUGGCUGCCUGGCAGGUGGCAAAGAAAAGCUGGUGGCAAAGGUGGCUGACAGCUAACGGCAUCCAUCUCCGUUCCCUUUGCCACCUGCCAAGCUGUUAGGCAGUCGGCAAAGAUAAAAUUUUUUAUUUUUGAAAUUUGAAUUUAGGUUUUAGACAUUCGAUGUCGUCACUUGCUCCAAACUUCCUCCAACUUUUUUCAUAGCCUCCACAUGCAAUAAGAGUGAACCUUAUAAACUUUCUUGAUUUUGUGACCCUUUUUGCUAUAUUUUGUAAAUUAAUUUCUUUUAAUUGUAUUUUCCACUGCAGAAUCCUACUUUGAACUGCAGAUGCAUCAAAUAAUGAAACUUAGCCAUUCGAAAAAUGAUAUUCAUGUUGGAGAGUCUAUUUUAAGGUCAUUUCCCGAAACUCACCCAAAAUUUUGAUGACUUUAUCCACGGGACAUGACCAUCCAGGUGUGUUAGAGGUGAUUUUUAAUUAUAUAAAAUUCAAACAAAGUCGGAAAAUUACGAAACUUGACCAAGUGUCAUGUUAUCACAUGUGGAAGCUCUAAAAAAAUUUGAGAAAGUUUAGAGGAAGUUGCAGUAUCAGAUGAACAAAACCCACACAUUUCCAAUAUGAUAGCAUGUGAUCAUAUGCGGAAGUGUUUGGGUUUUGUACAUCUAACAUCAUAACUUGCUUCAAUUUUUUCAAAAUUUUAUCAUAGGCUCCUCAUGUGAUAGCAUAACACCUCAACAAGUUUCGUACUUUUUCUUAUUUUGUUUGAAUUUUAUAUAAUUAAAAAUCACUUCUACCACACUUGGAUGAUCAUGUUCCGUGGAUAAGAACUUCAAAAUUUUGGAUUAGUUUUUGGAUAUGGUCUAAAAAUACAUUAUUCGACAUGAAUAUCAUUUUUCACAUGGCUAAGUUUUACUAUUUCAUGCACCUAUAGUUCAUAGUAGGAUUAUGUAGCGGAAAAAUCAGUUUAAAGAAAUUAAUUAAUGAAAUGUAGCAAAAAAAUUCAAAAAAUCACAAAACUUUUUGAGGUUUAAGGUUAUCACAUGUGGACCCUAUAGAAAAAAUUUGAGAAAGUUUGGAGCAAGUUGCAGUAUCAGAUGAACAAAAACUAAACAUUUCCAAUAUGAUAUGAUCACAUGCGCAAGUGUUUGAGAUUUGUACAUCUGACAUCAUAAAUUGCUCCAAAUUUUUUCAAAUAUUUAUCAUAGUCUCUUCAUGUGAUAACAUGACACCUCAACAAGUUUCGUAAUUUUCCGAUUUCGUUUGAGUUUUAUAUAAUUAAAAGUCACUUCUACCACACUUGGAUCAUCAUGUUCUGUGGACAAGGACUUCAAAAUUUUGGGUUAGUUUUUGGAUAUGGUCUAAAAAUACAUUAUUUAACAUGAAUAUUAUUUUUUGAAUGGCUAAGUUUUACUAUUUCAUGCACCUAUAGUUCAUAGUAGGAUUAUAUAGCGGAAAAAUCAAUUUAAAGAAAUUAAUUAAUGAAAUAUAGCAAAAAAAGUCAAAAAAUCACAAAACUUUUUGAGGUUUAAUGUUAUCACAUGUGGACUCUAUACAAAAAAAUUUGAGAAAGUUUAGAUCAAGUUGCAGUAUCAGAUGAACAAAAACCACACAUUUCCAAUAUGAUCGCAUGCGAUCACAUGCGCAAGUGUUUGGGUUUUGUACAUCCGACAUCAUAACUUGCUCCAAUUUUUUUCAAAUUUUUAUCAUAGGCUCCUCAUGUGAUAACAUGACACCUCAACAAGUUUCGUAAUUUUCUGAUUUCGUUUGAGUUUUAUAUAAUUAAAAGUCACUUCUACCACACUUGGAUGAUCAUGCUUCGUGGACAAGGACUUCAAAAUUUUGGGUUAGUUUUUGGAUAUGGUCUAAAAAUACAUUAUUCAACAUGAAUAUCAUUUUUCAAAUGGCUAAGUUUUACUAUUUCAUGCACCUAUAGUUCAUAGUAGGAUUAUUGAGUGGAAAAAUUAAUUUAAAGAAAUUAAUUAAUGAAAUAUAGCAAAAAAAAGUCAAAAAAUUACUAAACUUUUUGAGGUGUCAUGUUAUCACAUGUGGACCCUAUAGAAAAAAUUUGAGAAAGUUUGGAGCAUUAGAUGGACAAAAACCACACAUUUCCAAUAUGAUUAGUGCUCACAUGCGCAAGUUUUGUACAUCUGACAUCAUAACUUGCUCCAAUUUUUUUUCAAAUUUUUAUCAUAGGCUCCUCAUGUGAUAACUUGACACCUCAACAAGUUUCGUAAUUUUCUGAUUUCGUUUGAGUUUUAUAUAAUUAAAAGUCACUUCUACCACACUUGGAUGAUCAUGCUUCGUGGACAAGGACUUCAAAAUUUUGGGUUAGUUUUUGGAUAUGGUCUAAAAAUAUAUUAUUCAACAUGAAUAUCAUUUUUCAAAUGGCUAAGUUUUACUAUUUCAUGCACCUAUAGUUUAUAGUAGGAUUAUUGAGUGGAAAAAUCAAUUUAAAGAAAUUAAUUAAUGAAAUAUAGCAAAAAAAGUCAAAAAAUCACUAAACUUUUUGAGGUGUCAUGUUAUCACAUGUGGACCCUAUAGAAAAAAUUUAGAAAAGUUUGGAGCAGUUGACAAAAACCAAACAUUCUUUGCCGACUGCCCUCGAUCCAGGCAGUCGGCAAAGAGUAUUUGUAAAUAAAAUAUACCACGCCUUUGCCGACUGCCCUAACCUCAUAGCAGUCGGCAAAGGACUUAGAUCUAAAACCUAACCAAUAAUAUGCCAAAACGUUAUCUUGAAAAAAAAAAGAAAAACGCAACCAGCAGCUCCACCCGAGCGACGCACGCAGCAGCUCCACUCGAGCAGACGCACGCAGCGCCGCCGCCGCCGCACUGCCGCCGUCGGCACACCGCUCGCAGCCCCGCCGCACCCCCUGCGCUCUGCGCCCCCGCCUCCCCUGCACCCUCCACCCCGCCAUCGACCGCCCGGCCGCCCCUGUCCCGGCCGCCCUCGAUCCGCUCGUGCCUCGUCCUCGUCUUCGCCUCCUCCUCCGCCCGCCGCUUGAUCCGGGGAGGCGGCGCGUCCCUCGUCUUCUGCGGCGCCCGAGGAGGCGGCGGCCGCCGCCGCCGCUGGUGGGGAGGCGUCGAGGGCAGCACAAGAAGAGGAGGAGGCCUUCGAGGACGCGCUCACCGACGAAACACGUGGGCUCUCUUGUGCUCGUCGGCGGCCUCUUCUAGUUUUAGGUGAGCAUCUUCGUUCGGCUGUUUUGUUUCUCUGGUCACAUGGUGUUCUUGCUCUACCAUGUUUAAGAUCCAGUAGAUCAGUCAGAUCUGUUUUUUGUAUGUUUGAGAUCCAGUAGAUCAGUCAGAUCUGGUAGAGUUGCAUCUCUCGGCCGCCACUACUCUGUUGCAGCUGGGCACCAAACCAUUGGUGAACUCUUGGAUCUCCUCUUGUUUUCUUGGCAAAUAUAAUAUGGCACAUCUGGUACGGUAGAGUGUGCAUUUGGAUGAAGGCAAAACAUACAUAAUCUGUGGCAGCGUCAUCUGCAUUAAUUUAAUCCUGGUGUGCUGGUUCAUGUGGUUUCAUGGAGUCUAUAAGUAUAUCAUUUGAACUCUUAGUUUGUUAUGUGAUGUUCUUCAAACACUAACAAAUCAUUUUGGCUAUUAAGAACUGACAUUUGGAGAGCCAUUUUCUGUGAUGCAUGCAGAUUAUUGGCAUCGUUCAUUGUAAUUUUUUUUUGUAUUUUCCAGCAGAUAAUGAAAACAAUGAAGUCUUUAUGCUCAUGUGCUUCCUUCUCAAGUACUUUUGCUCUGCCUAGUUAGUUAUAUUGCCAAUGAGCCAACAUACAUAGACCUUUAUUUCUUUCUGCACUAAAUAUUAUUUAUAUUUUUGAAAGUUUGCAACAUCGACAACAUGUAGUGUGGCAUGCAGCCUCACUUUGUUGGUUCAGAACAUAGUGAUUUGUUCUUGUUUUGCUAAUUAUCAUUUCUCCAAAAUCACUUUUGCUAGUUGAGGAGGGAAAGGCUCGUGGACAGGAUCAACAUUAUCUGGUUUCUCCAUUCAGAAAGGUAAGAAAGUGAAAAGGGAAAAAAAGACUUUUGGCGAUAUAUAUGCCCUAUGUAUGUUAAGCACACGUUGUUACAAAUGUCUUCUAUUUUUAGCAGGAGGCGUUAUUAUUAUUAGCAUGAGGCUUUUUAUGUUCUUUAGUAAAUGCAAGCAGAUAGAUAUAGGAUCUGGAGAUGAACUUUUGUAUUACAUAUUUAUCUGGUCCUCAAAAACAGCAUCUGUGGUAGUGUAGCCUAGUCCUGAAAAAUAUUUGCAUGGAGAUGGAUGGAGUUGGACACUUCGCUUUCUAUCCUGGCUAGAUGCUGAAAUGCUGAAAUUCAAGAUUUGGGUUAUUAUUACUUCUAUAAUUGUCGCUGUAUAAAUUGUGUAUACUUUGCAAUUAUGUUUCUAAUUCAUUUUGUUCUUAUUAUUAUUUGUGCUAAUUGGUUUAAUCUUUGUCAUUGCAGGUAUAGGACAAAAUGCCAGGCGGAGGUAGACGGCGACGACCGCUACGAAAGGUCACCUCGAUCUACAUGUCGACCGGCGUCGACGACGAGGCGGAGGACGAGCUGCCGUUGGUCGAGUUCUCGGCGAGGUCUCGCACACGUCGCGCGUCGACGAGGGAGCUCUUUCCCCAGACGAUGACCACGACGGGGGCGGCGAGGACGUGGGCGGUGAGGACGGGGGUGGCGAGGACGGCGGCGAGGACGGGGGCGGUGAGGGCGGGGGUUGCGAGGACGGGGGCAGCCAGGGCGGGAGCGGGGCGACACCAGCGGAGACGUCUUCCUCAGCGUGACUAGCUAUGUGGUUCUUCUACUUUGCAGGAUGUUGGAUGUUGGUUUAGCACACCAUGUUGGAUGUUUGAUGUUGGUUUUGCACACUUAGUAUGAUUUGUUGGAUGAUGGACUUGUUGAACUCAUUUAUUAUGGUUUAUGUGUGCUAUAUAUGUGGAUUUGUGUGAUAUAUAUAUAUGUGGAUCUGUGUGAUAUAUGUGAAUUCUAGUUAUAUAAUCAUAUUUGUGACAUAAAAUAAAAAAACAGGGCUGAAAUUUUACUUAUUCCAGCUUUGCCACCUGCCAAAAAAAGGCAGUCGGCAAAGAGCCCUUUGCCACCUGCCAAAAAAGGCAGUCGGCAAAGAGCCCUUUGCCACCUGCCAAAAAAAGCAGUCGGCAAAGAAAUUCUAUUAUAAAAAAAUAAGAAAAGCCUUUGCCGACUGUUUUUGGCAGUCGGCAAAGGGGAUGCGCUACGUCAUCUCACGACGGCGUUCGUUCCCUUUGCCGACUGCCAUAUUGGCAGGUGGCAAAGGCUUUGCCGACUGAUUUUCUCUUGGCAGGUGGCAAAGGUUUCUUUGCCGACGAAUUCUUUGCCACGUGUUCUUUACCGACUGCCACGUGUAAAGCAGUCGGCAAAGCCUUUACCACCUGUUUUAGGGCCUUUGCCGACUGCUUUUGGCAGUCGGCAAAGAACAGAAUUCCAGUAGUGAAUAACUCUAGCAGAACAGUUUGGCUCUCACUGACGGACAGCAAGGUCAGAACCAACGAUAUAUAUUCUUGAUUUGUGCUAGACUAGCUAUGGUGAAUUAACUGCUUUCCCUGCAGCAACAUUGCAAUAUUAAAGUUUGGUUGUAGUAAGGACCUGAAGAUUUUGCUUCCAGUUCUUUCAAAGCUUGCAUCUAGAUGUGCUUUUGAUUGAUGUCCAGUGACUAUUUUUGCUCCUCUAAAUAUACAGAUUAAGUCACCUGUCAAUGAAUUUUGCUGCUCUAUUUUGCACAAAUUUAUACAUAACACAAGUCUCUUGACUAAUUUUUGCUAUAGAUGCUCUAUUUUGCAUUCUGAUUGACUGGUUAUGGUGUGCUAGCUAUAUAGGCAAUUAUCUCGAAAAAAAAAUCCUGAUGGCGCUCAAAACAGGGGUGGUUCUAGGCCACUAGUUGAGACUCAACAAUAUCUGGUAAUCUCCUUUCUCAACAUCCAUUUUUUCACCACAUUGAAAUUGUCAUAUGCAUUAACAUUGAUCACUUUUAUUUUUUGAAGGAAGCUAAGCAUGGACCUGGGAAGGGCACUAUAAUAAAUACUUUUUCCUGCAUGAAAGCUGGCCUUAAGAAUUGUGAUGCCAAUGGGAAUGCUGGCCCAAUUCCAGAACAGACAAAGAAACUUCUUGUAUGUAGAAGAACUUUCUAUCUAGAUUCAUACUUUUUCAUUUGCAGUUUCUGACUAAUUAUUUUUGUUAUUUCUAGGAUGACUACAAUGAAGCAUUGCAAGAAAAGUAUCCAGAGGACUGGCAAGAGCAACCUUUUGAUGGUCAAAUUGCAUAUAAUAUUGGUGGUGGCUUGCCGCAUGGUCGUCUUGCAAUAGGAAAUGGUGUUGUCAACAAGGCUACAAUAAUUAAUGCUGCCAAGGCAAAUGGAACAAGGCCAGCAACCUCAAGGGCUUUUGAAAAUCUGCUGGCACGAUAUGAGGAGUCUGUUGCCAACGUUGGUCACUUAACUCAACAAAAUAAUGCCUUGGUUCAACAAAAUGCUGCAUUGACUCGAGAUGUGAAGCGUAAUGCUCGUGUACUUGAGGUACAAUUCUGUUAUGGUGCAUUAUCUAUCUACAGUUCAAGGUUCAUAGACAUUGAUUAUGUAUUUUCACAUACAGCUCAUUAUUAACAAAGUACAAAUAGAGAUUCCACCGGACCUGCUUCAGGAAGAAGAAAAUGACAUGGUAAGAUUAACAUCUUAAUCAAUUUUCACUCUAUCCACCUGAACUCCAAGCAGACAAUAUGCUAAAAUCCUAUACUAAAAAUAGUUUAUACACAAAAUAGCAGCUGCCUAUGUACCAAUAUUUGUGUCUAGUGAAUGAAAUGGUGCAGCUGCUUGGCUUCUGGAAUGGUCAUAUUAAUUUGUUUUGGUUGUAGGGAGGGACUAUAGAUGGAUCAUCUCGUGCCUCAGCCAACAUGGACAGGGACAACAGCGAUGGCCAUUAAGUUGUGCGGUGCCAGGAAGUAUUUUGUGAAGCCAAAGUCUUUUGUUUAUCUACUAUGGCUAAUAGCAACGACCAGCAAGUUCGAAGGCCGUGCAUGUGUCAUGCUGGGUAUUUUGGUUGUGCGUGGGCUGCUGCAUAUUUAGAUUGUGAAGCAACAUAUGCAGAUUCCAUCGCGCUUCAAGACAUGUGUGCUAGUUGUGGAGUACCAGAUUGCUUAUUCCCUGCAGGCAUGCUUAUGCAGAAGUGGGUGCAUACUGCUAUCAAACUACAGCUUGCUACUUAUAGACUUCCUGGGUCAAGGAAGGUCAAUUUGUUGGCUAUCUUGUGCAGAAGUGGUUGUGUACUGCCAUGAGAUAGCAGCUAGCUAGCUGAAGUUGUGUUGGGAGAUAGAUAGCACCUAGUCGUGAGGUAGCACAAAACUUGUGCUGCCGGUUAGUUAUCUAACUAGAAGGCACUAAUUAUUAUAUAACUUUGUAUGAAUGAACAACUUGAAUGAUGUUCUAAGAUUAUAUAAUAUGUAUUACUUCAGUGUGGAUGAAUGCCUGUAUCAGUCCCUGUAAUAUUGUGUAUAAUCGCUAAUUACUUGCUAUGAACAGCGGUUAAAUAAUCAGUGAUUUUGUGUGUGUAAUUGACUGGAAAUAUUUCCCUGACGGAGGAAAACCGUCCGGAAUCUACAACCGUGACGGCAGACAAGCUGACGGGAAAGCCUAUUUCCAGGCCUGACGGUUGAGCUGCCGACGGAAAAAGUUGAAACUAUCCCUGACAGUGCGGUAACUGACGGUGAAAGUUUAAAUUUUCACUGACAGUACAACAGCCGACGGGAAAAGUUGAAACUAUCCCUGACGGGAUUCAUCCGUCAGAGAAAAUGUUCCUGACGGGAAGCCUGCCAACCGACGUUGUAGAUCUUUCCUGACGGUGGCAGCCGUCAGGAAACUGUUCGUGACGGUUUUCCGUCAGGGUGAACUGACUAUCCGUGACGUUUUUUCCUGACGGGUUAUCCCUGACGGUUACCGUCAGAGAUGACUUUCCGUGACGGUUUUCUCCACUUUCCCUGACGGAACCAGCCGUCAGGAAAAAAGUUGUCUGGCGUGGUGAAAGUACCAGCAAACAAUACGCAUUCGAAAAUAACAAUAACAUAAUUGUAAACCCUAAAUGGAAAACAAAAUGAAAAGAAAAAGAAAAAAGAAAAAAGUCUUUAGUCCCGGUUGGUAGCAACAACUGGGACUAAAAGUGAAGGCCAGAUGGCACACCCUGGCGCACCUUUUAGUCCCGGUUGCUGUUACCAACCGAGACUAAAGGUGGACCUUUAGUCCCGGUCCGCGGAACCAGGACUAAAGGUGGGACAUUUAGUCCCGAAACCUUAGCCCCGGUUCCGUAGCCGGACUAGAGGCCCUUACGGCCUUCCCUGUACUAGUGACUCACAAAAGCUUCCAACUAUUUCCAUCGGUUUGUUGCAGCAGUGACCCAAUUUUGGACCUGCUUUUCACGGUAUAGUUUCAGUGUCACACAAAUUAGCCCUCUCAUGUUUAUUGUGUUAGAUGAGAGCACCACAAAGAAUUUCUGUAGUGCAGCAAUUGUGGGUAGUAGUGAAUAGUAUUAGUCUACAAGUAAAACUAAGGAUUAGCCAAGACAAUCACUAUAAUAUACACAUCUUUUUCCUCAAAUAAUAAUAUACACAUCUCUACCUGCCAAGAAGUUCUCAAGAAACGCAUAUAGUUUCUAGUGGCAUUUGAGGGUUUGUUUUUUCUCCUGAAACAAUUAGACACCAAGCAUUUUUUGAAAUUCCUACCAAUUGUGGUUAUCCAAAACUCUAUAUAGUUAGUAAUAAACAAGUAUAUAUGUACAUGGCUAGGGAGCAGUAGAAGACAUCGUUGGUAAAUUUAUAAGAAAUGCAGUAUAUAUUUCGCAAAAAAUACAAAUACAUCUCGGUAAAUCAAGGACACGACCAGCAAUCUUUUUUUUUUUUGAGACGAAAGAAACCAAGACCAGCGAUCACGUACGACACGGUGAAAUGACUCAACCAUACUAAUAUAGCCUGCCCGAUAGACGAUAAUAACAGGGCUAUCUAUCUAGCUUUAUACUAGCUAGAAGUUUGGCAUGAACGACGACGCGGAGGAUAGCUAGAUGCGCGCGCAUCGAUCUUUCGAUCGAUCUCACAUGGUGCCCUCGAAGGUGAGGAGCUUCCACGUCUUGGACUCGGAGCCCGGGAUGCCCCACACGGUGGAGACGUAGCUGCCGGCGGUGCCGGUAUAGUUGGUCGCCGAGAGCACCAUCCAGUAGUUGUUGGCGCCGCCCCCCGCCGGCGAGGACCAGCACUUCGACGUGCUCAGGUAGUUCAUCGGGAUCAUGUGAGCGAGCCUGUACACGUUCACCGCGAACUUGCCCACCUGCUUGAUGAAGUCGCUGCUCACGUCCUCCUGCUUCGUGUACGACGGCGGCGGCGCCGGGUCGGCCACCACCACUGUCAGGGCCGUCGCCAAGAAGGCAACGAGUGCUAGCACAGCAACAAUCGCCGCCGAUUGCUUCUUCAUGACUGAUGAUUGGCGGCGAGCUGCUAGCAGCUGUGGGUACAUGCACUAAUAAAGCGGCUAGGGCUUGUACGUGUACGUACAGCUAGCGCGCUGUGCUAGCUAGGAGCUCUGUGAGCGAGCUGUGUUGGGAACUCGAUGUGUGGUGAUCUGGGAUGGCACACGGCACGCCCUCUAUAUAUAGCCGCCGUGUGCAGGUAGCCCGGCUGCCGGCCGCCGUGGUAGUGUAUAGAUUGCCAAAACCAGAAAGCUAGCCCGAGCAAUGCGCGUCAGCUGCAACCUCCUCCGUCAACCUUAAUAGUUUAUUUGACUGAUAAACUAUAGUAUAAAAUACUAUUGAUUAAUUUAUUGUGAGAGAAAAAUACUACUAAAUGACUAGUAAAUUUGGCUGAUAAACCCAAACCAGAGAACUUCUCCGGCCGACAUCAAGUGUGUGUACAUAGUACGUACUUGCAUUCGAGCUAAGCCAGCUGGUGGACAGGGGUACACGUGUUCUGUCUGAAGGAACGUGCGCGAAUCUCGGUGGAGGACGUACGUACUGUACGCGGGCGGGGCGCGCUCUCGUGCAUGGCAUGCGUUUAUGCAUGGGUGCUUGUGAUCGAGGACGUGGAGAUUGGCGCGGCCAGCUAGUUUAGUCUUGUGAUUUGCUGGUUGUUUGCUUCGGGGCAAGGCGUCGCGCAGAAUAACGAGAAGCCUCGCUAAUAGCUCCGGGCACGGUGCAUGCAGUGUGGCUGCCUCGCUGGAGUAGGAGAGCUAGCGCGCGGGCCGCCAGCCGAGAGCAUGCAUUCCAAUCCAACCACGGCGGUCAACAGGUGGGUAGCGCUCCAAAUUGGACGGCGCAUCGGCCGCGACGCCCGUGCCGGCCCGGCCGGUGGAGGAGCGGCGAUCGAUGAUGCUAGCUGCGCGCGGCGGAGGCUGGAGGGGAUCGGAGCUAGCUAGCUGGCCAUAUAUUGUCGCCGACACCGAUCGUCCACUGGUUCAGGUGUGGGAACGCACACGAAUUCCCUCAUGGCCCAUCCAAUUAAUUUACUGCUAGCAAAUAAAACUAGGCUCUCGCGCGCUUCACAUGCAUACAGAGGAGUCGUCGAGAGAGUACGACCUAGUACUGGUACUAUUUCUUUAGCUUAAUUGAAAGUCAAAAACUCGCACGUACCACUUGGCCUAGCCGCCGAUAUAUGCUCGAAUCAGAGUACAAGUACUACUUCUUUAGCUCAAUCGAAAGUCAACUCUCAACUCGCACGUACCACUUGGCGCCUAGGACCAUAUAUAUGUGCAAGAGUGACAGUGGUUUAAACUACCAAAUGUUUGCAUGCAUUUUGCCAGUGCAAAUGGUGAAUUUUCAUAGGCGUCACUCUGGAAACCGCCGAUACAAAAACAGAUCUAGUGUAAAUGUUUCUAUACUAGUAGUUGACUUACAUCAUAUAGCUGCCAGUUCAAAUAAUUUUCACAUGUGCUGGAGGCUGGAGCUAAGUUAACACUCCCAUGCAUGUUUUUCCAAGGGCGGCUAAAUAACACUAGAACAUCAUGCAUGCGCCCUUCGGGCGCCCUAUCAUGAUUUGAAGAACAAAAGCAAGUCCAUUCUCGAUAGACAUGGCUCCAUAAUUAGAUACAGUAAAGCUAAGAUGUUAGUCACAUAUUAAUAUAUAUAGUAAUUGCCACCAUCACCAUAGUGUCAGUAUCUACGAUCAAGCAUAUAUUAUCUGAAAAAAUGAUCAAGCAUAUAUCAUAUCAUACCAUUAGAAAAAUGACAAAUUAUGAAGCAAUGAUAUGGUUUGUAUGUCCACUAUAGCUCUCAUGGUUCUGUUCACACCCUUCAUUACAUUAACGGUGUUGUUGAACCAUACAUUACAUAACUAUUAGGUACAAUUUACAAUCAGGAAUUCACAACAAUCAAACACUUAAGCUAGUAGCUUAGAACGGCAAACUAUAUAGUUCGCAGCCAUGAGGUUUGCAAAAGACACAAAGUCGAUCAUCAUAGUGGCAAGUUCCCUUGAUGCUGAACAUCAGACGUCAAUCAGCAGUUGAGCAAGUACACACAGAAAAGCUAGGUGCAAUCAAUAGAGGCAAAAGAGAUGUGACCUUCCUCUUUAGGUGAUUAGGUACCAUGGACAGGUCUGAAAUGGAAAAAUAUGGCAUAACAUAUGAUGUGCAUAGAUUAUAACAUGGCAAUAAAGUUAUGGGCUAUUGGAACAUCUAGAUCAUAACUCUAAGCAAUUAAUCUAUCAUGUGAUUGCUCUCCCCUCUUUUGGAGUUUUAGUGAUUAAGUAUUUUCUCAAAACCAUUACUUACUAAGUAAAUAAAUAUUCAUGAUCCUGCACCUACAUGAUCUGCUUACUGUCUUGGUAGCAAAUGAAAAUAAGUAAAUAUUUCAAUGUGCAGUGAACAACACAGCUAACGAAGACAAAAUAAAAUCAGAAAAUGAUUAAUAUACUAAACUUUGCCUUGCAGAUUUGAAUUGCAUAUUAGCAUUAGCACACUAAUAAAUAGUAAUAUUGCAAUUUGCAGGUAUAGUGUUAUAGGUGCCAUAGUGUUGACACGGUUUUUGGCUCACUGAUAAUAUGUGCAAUAUUUGCUUUAAAUAAAUGUAAAUAGUAUAUAUGGCCAAAUUCCAUAUAAGAUAGAAACGAAUAAUGGAAGAAAUGAUAUCGUACACUCCAAAAUAUACAUGGGUGAAGAGGUAUAAUAAAUAUGUAUACAUGCUAUAUCCAAAUAUGCAUGAUGAGAAAGCGUAUAUGUGUAUACGGUUCCAAAUGAUUAAGAGUGUUGAUAGAAUAACCUAUCACACAAGUGACCUGGUGAUUAUUCAAAUAGAGAAAAGAAAAGAUAAUAACUUAUACAAAUAUAUAUGCACGUACGAAAUACGUUGGACGAUAUUCUCAAACGGUGCUACAGGAAUAAAUAAGUAUUAUUAUAUUUCUCUAACCUGUUGAUACUAAUCUUUAGCAUACCCGAAAUAUAUGGAAAUAUUUAUAUCAUAUUAAAUAAAAUGAUAUAGCUGAUCAAGUUUCAUUUAACUAUAUGAUAUAGGCAAAUAAGGGAUAAUACAAUAUCCCUAACAAAAAGGAGAAGAAAGAUAAAAAAAGAGGGGUACAUAUAUGUACAUAUGCAUGAACGUGCUAGUGUCUAGACAAACACGCUCUUUAUAUCGGCAAAGUAAGAGAACAACAAACUAAAAGUAUAGUGAGUAUAUGUUUUGUAUAUAGAUAUUCGUCUGGCCGUAAAAUAAUACAUACACUGCUCAUGCAUACACGUAUGGAUUAAAACAUGAUCAUGCAGCGUAUAGGAUGGUGGUGUGCCUAUCAUGUAGCCUUACGUACGCCAACCAGAAGAUAAACCUCCCUAUUUUCCUUAGAUUAACUAGCAAAAAUGCCCGUGCGUUGCAACAGGAGAAAAAACAAAGCUAUCAAAUCUAUAUCUAUAUCUCUAUUAUCUAAUUAUAUAUAUCUACCUAAUAAUAAAGAGGUAAAAUUUUAGUCUCUUUCUUUUGUCCAUCUAUUUUUUCUGUCUUCCUCUAACUACCAAAGAUGAAGAGUUUCUUUUAUCUGGACUUAUGUAUAUAACUCGUGCUCAUAUGAGUUAAAAUAACUUGCGUCUAAAUCAAUAUGGAGUAGAAAUCCUAAUAUAAAUAGAUUCCUCACGUAUUCUAAAUAGAACUCUUAAUAUUCAAAUAGAAAAUAAUAAGAAUUAUGUUCUUUAUUUUGUUGCGCUUUCUUUAUUUGGUUACAUGUCAAUUGGAGGAAAAAAAAUCGAAGUCCUAAUCUGUAGUUCCUUCUUAUAAUAAAAAGGCAAAAUUUCUGAUUAUUUUGGAUUUUGGUCUAGCCCAACUAUUCGCUUGUUUCGGUCUAAAAUUGGUUUAAACUCGUGUUAGGCUUCCGAGUUAGAUUCAAUUCAUAACUUUCCUUUUUUUUCCCUAACCUAAUUAGACCAGAAGUCCUCGUGCCAUAAACAGAAAAUAAACUAAAAAUAAUAGGAAAUCAGAUGUGAACGAGAGGAGCAUCGUUUAAUUAAUCUAGCUGGUAAACAUAUAAAGAUAUGGUGGACUGAAAUUUUUAUAAUUGUAUAUUAAGUAAAUUGGAAAAUUUUGAUGAGACGAAAAUUUUGAUCAAACGAAAAUUUUGAUUGAAAUUUUGCCUCUUUAGUACUCCCUCCGUCCCAAAUUAUAAGUCAUCCCAAGAAUCUUGGAGAGUCAAAGUUUUUCAAGUUUGACCAAAUUUAUAUAGCAAAAUAAUAACAUUUUUGGUACCAACCAAGUAUCAUUAGAUUCUUUGUUAGUUAUAUUUUCAUAGUGUACCUAUUUUAUGACAUAAAUCUUUAUAUUUCUCUCUAUAUUUUGGUUAAACUUGAAAAUGCUUUGACUCUCCAAGAUUCUUGGAGUGACUUAUAAAUAUGCCCGUGCGUUGCAACGGAAGAAAAACAUCAAAUGAUCUUAAAAAGUGAUGUAUAUUACAUAUCUAUUUAUAUUUAUCCUUUUAUAAAAUUUAAAGUUCAUAAUUUAUUUUAUUGAUAACCAUAACAUCUAUGGUAUUAGAUAGUUAAUAUUUACAAUAAUAUGUAGCUUGAAGACAUAUUUAUUUAAUAAUAAAAAUAGAAAUUUGUUAAACCUUAUCUCACUCUAAUAUUACCUUUUAAUAUACCUUAAUAUUAUAUUAAAACAUGAGAAGUUUGAUGCUAGCAUUAUUUAGGAUUGCUAUGAAAUAUGAAUCAAGCAUCACAUUAAAUAGGCUACUAGCAAAAUAAUAACAUUUUUGGUACCAACCAAGUAUCAUUAGAUUCUUUGUUAGUUAUAUUUUCAUAGUGUACCUAUUUUAUGACAUAAAUCUUUAUAUUUCUCUCUAUAUUUUGGUCAAACUUGAAAAUGCUUUGACUCUCCAAGAUUCUGAGUGACUUAUAAUUUGGAACGGAUGGAGUAUUAGAAUUAGAAGUAUAGAUAUACUCCUUGGAUCAUUGGAAAUAAGACAUAUUCUAGGAUAGUUUAUGGGGUAACUCAAAUAACGCAUGUAACCUUAACAAUAGAGAGAUUUUGUACUUAUACUAUAUUUUGAAUGUGCUAUAGACACUAAUGGCAAGUACGGAUGUGAUUGGGACAUUGGGAGAGUUAAAUAAUUUAUAGUAACUCAUAAUCUGAAAUAGAUUUUGAAUGCUUGGCUAAAAUUAGUAGCCAAAUUCUAUAUUUUAGUCAUUUUAUAAAAUAGAAAACUUUUUUAAAAACAGAGGUCUACAACAGCUUUGAUAUUCUAUCAAUUUUAUACUAAAAAGCAUAGGCAAGCAUCUCCAGCAAAGAAAAUAUAAUAAAAUUUAUGAUAUUUUUUAUUUACUGCAUAGAUCUACAUUUGUGGAGCUGAAUAAAAUUUGUUUUGUAAUUUUUAGAUUUAUCUAUGAAUUACUAUGUAUUUAUUAAUUGAUUUAAAUAAUAAAAGAAAAAUAAACUAAUAGGAUAAACACUUUGCAUCUAAGUCCCUAUAAUUUCUUUAUUCUCAAUGUCUGUAAUGUAUAAAAGAGAUUUUGCAUUGAAAACCUUAGAAAAACUUUUAUUUUUUUUUCUCUGGCAGCGUUGGAAGCCAACGAUAGAUAUACGGACGCGAGGCCGAUUCUGGUAGGGAGGGCAGAAAAAUUUUGGAGCAGACUGAAAUUUUCACAAUUUAGUAGUAGGGAUAGAUUACUUCAAUCUAGAUGAAGUGGCUCAUAAACCAUGGAGAGGGAGAGUCAUCAGGUCUUGACGCAUUCCAUGUUUUGACGGCGUCAGGCAACCUAGUCCAAGUCCAAAGGAAGAUUCAAACCUCCAUGAACUCCACGUCUGGAAAGAACCCCGUCGCAGCAGUCGCGCGUGAGGCCAUUCAAAUCAAGCGUACCAAGGUCAUUAGCGGAGGCAGAUUGAAUUAGAAGAGCGCCAAACAUCAUGGUAACUACUCCCGCCGUUUCAGCUCUGGACGAGAUUUCAAAAUAUAAAACCACCCGGCCGCUUGCUCUGUAAAUAGAGAGCUAGUACGAGCGUUCAAGUCCCCUGCUCUCCUGAUCGAAAGUGCCGCCAGGCUGCUGCUCCAUUGCCUCGCCGAAACAACUGCUGCCAAGCUGCCGCAGCGCCUCGCCAUUGACAAAUCCGAGCGCUCGUCCGGUCUCUGCUCAAGCCAACUCCAAAGCAAACACCAAAUAGAGGAGAGCAACAUCAUCCAAGAAAAAGAUCGCUCGGCAGGAACUUGUUGCCGCCGGUGGAGUACCGCCGCAAGGUGAGAUGCUUACAGGAGCAAUCAGCCAACACUUCUAAUCUCUCGUCUCUCUUCGCUUUCUGUUCUUCGGCUACUGCAUCGACAAGCUUCAUCGGCAACUUGACGGUUUUUGUUAAAUGGCCGGACCAUGCCGCUGCAGAUGAGCAGCGUGUAGGGGACUGACCACAGUAAAAGAUAAAAGGGACAAACAAGGUUGGCGCCCCGCGCCUGAAUUUGAUCUCUGGUAAAAUAUCGUUCGGCAAUGCUACGACCAUGCUAUGCACAUGGGUUGAGCCUUGUAAAAGGUCAGCUAGCAGUGCCAUGACAGCGCUAUGUGCAUGGGCUUUGUGCCCCAGCGAAGGUGUAAAAAUGCAGUAAAUAUACCAUGGUAAAAUUCAGGUUUAGAUGCGAUUUGGCUCCAUCCCGCGAUUAAAAUUUGGAUCGGACACACUUUGGCUCCACCCCGGUUAUGUUCAUGGUGAAAAUUUGGUUGGUGGCUCCAAUCCGGUUAAAGGUUCAUGAUACAAAAUUAGUGGACGCACUUUGGCUCCACCGGUUAUGAUAAAAUUGGUAUGGACACGAUUUGGCUCCAUAUCUAAAUAAGUCUGCAUAUGUUUUGGCCAUGGCCCCGCCGGCCCAUUUCCGUACUGUGCAUCAAAGAAAAUAGACAAAUUGCAUGCUGCGACUAUAAAAGAAGUUCGUGUGCUAAGUUAUGACAAAUCAAAGAAAUAGCUAUUUGUGCAUUAGAAAUUAUGUCAAAAGAGAAGUUAGUUAUAUAUUGCAUGUUGAGUCCAUGCAUAUCUUUCUUUGGUCGUGGCAGUUAGCGCCUUUGAUGCAAAUUUGAUUUAGCUAGCACUGACAUCCGUAUGCUAUAUUCAGUGCCGUGCAUUUCAUUGGUAGUUGCAAGAAAGAUUGAAGUUUGCAUCGCCAUGAGAUAAAUAAACUAGCUCUUUUAUAUGCCCGAACUGUCAAAGACUAUGCAUAUCCAGAAUUAGAAUAUGUAUGCAUACAUCAUGCACAUGUCUGGUCUACGUCAGCAAAGACAAAUAAUGAUAAAAAACGGUAUAGCUCAUACUCUACGCCUUAUCAAGUAUUACGGCCAAACAAAAAAAAUCCUGUUUGGGCACGUAAAAACCCAUGUUCAUAAAUCUUAUAUGCUACUGCAUCUUGCGUGAACGGUGAUGAUCAAACCGCUUAUACCAUAUAGACACAGUCAAUUUAGUCUUUGCAUCAAAAUCAACAUGGGUGCAUUCAUAUCUCAUAAAUUAUAUAAGAAUAAGAUGAAAUGCUUCAAAUUAAACUGGCCUUGUCAUGUUCAUCAUACCGAGCAUAGUUCCUCCAAAUUCCGUGCAUCAUGUAUAAAUAAAUAUUGCACCUUAGCUAUAUCCCAUUCAUAAAUCACCGGGCCUAGCUGAGUUGUAAACAAACCGCAUCAAAUUAAAUUAAAUUAAAUUGCAUAAUACGUGCUAAUCUGUGGCCAAAUACCAUGCUAGGAGCAUGCAUAUUAACUUUCAUAAAAUAAGGUCACUACAUGCAUCACGACCAGGUCCGGUGAUGCAACAUGCUCCCUCCGUCCCAAAAUAAGUGUCGUUUUCGCUUCCCGAGAAAUAACUUUAACUAAAUAUAUAGUAAAAAAUAUUAAUAUUUAUAAUACAUAAUUAAUAUCAUUGAGAAGAUCUUUAAGUCUAGUUUUUUAACAAAUUUAUUUAGAGAUAUAAAUAUUGCACGUAUUUUCUACAAAUCGAAUCAAACUUGUGGCACGAAAACCUAAAACGACACUCUUUUUAGGACGGAGGGAGUAUCUUUCUAGACCAUGGCAAAAUAGACGUCCUAGCUUAGCCCCAAAUAAAAUAUUGCAUCAUAUAUGCCAAAGCAUGUUAAUCCAUAAUCUUGCAUGUCUCCAAGUAAAUUACGUGCACGCAUGCAUGAUAAAAUGCACCAAAUAAAUGUUUAUUAUAUAAAUAAAUUAAUGUCCCUCCAUCGGCACGCAUACAUGUCAAAAUUCAUGUAACUAAAUGCAUAUAUGUCCACAAAGGGUCAUAUGUCGAAUUAUUAAAAUUUAACCACAUCAAGGCCUAAAUAAAUAAUGUGAUAUUCUCAAAAGUUUGCAUGGAUUAAACAUAUGCAUGUCGUUAUUAUGAGUUGCUAAAAAGCUAAACAUGCUAGUGACCAAUCAUACAAGGAAUAUAUAUUACCUGCUCAACAAAUGAAAUGUCAUGCUCAAAAGAAAUGACGGAUAUCAAGUUCAAGUUUAUGCCGGGCCUAUGCAUGCAUCCAUCCGCGACUACAAGACUGAAGAUUUUAUUUUCUUUUGUAGUUUGUAAUAGCAAGCCAUAUGAUGUAAUCUUUCUUCUUCAUGUACUCAUGUUGGAACUCUUAAUCAGAGGUGUUCUCUUCGGAGAUGUAAUUAACAUAAUUUUUAUAUAAAUAUAAGAAUUAUGGAAGUAUGGACUCGCAAUACCUGUUCUUUUCAUAUUGUCCCAUUUAAAUUUAUAUUUGUCUCUGCUGACGCGGAGGCGGGUCAUAGCCGCCCGUUUCCCCGCCUUCACAUAGAAACACAAACUACAUAUAUGCCAAAGAACAAAAAAUUUGGUCACAUAACUCAGAAGUGCUUUAUCUGAAUUUGAUGAAAGUUCACACAUCAAGUGAUACAUACUUAAACUGGCGCCGGCACUCCUGGAGUAUACAGAACAAUUACUUUCUUUAACAAAUGAAGUAUAUCCUGAAAGAAACAUCCCUUCAUGGUGUGCUGCAGAAGCACAAUGCAAAGCCAACCAUUUCACAAAUUACAUGACAUGGGUGGAACCAGCAAAGGGUUUUGAUAAAUUUCUAAACAAAAAUCCAAGUUAGUUUUUUUUGCUUGUUUGCAAGUAAAUCAGAUCUAAAUACAAAUCCUCCAGGACCAAGCGUAUCAUCAGUGUCAGAGAGAGCACAAGAAAACAACGGGUACAAGAUACAUGAUAAGUGAUUGCAGAACUGCAUAGCUGAGCGAAGCUGUUAAUGUAACAAACAAGGGAGCAAUGACUAUAUGGCAUCAUUGUUGAUUCCACUCUUCAAUGAGUAACAUUUCAACAUUGUAGCACUCUUCAUCUGCUAAUUUUAAUUUUAAUUUAGGAAUUAUCAUGAAAUCUUCCCACUUCUCUAAACCCUUUUCCCCACUACAUUCACUUGCUCCCACCAUUACCUGAAUCAACUAAGAAACGGAUAAGAAUUCCCCUUUCUCCACUACAUUCACUUGAUCACUAUUACUUGAACCAACUAAGAAAAGGAUAAGAAAUCAGGGAGUCUGUUUGUGAAUUGAGGAAUCCCCAAACCAAAACAAUUCACGUUACCUGAUGAGUCGGAUGAACACGCUGCAGCUCACAGUUGCCUACAGUAUCCACCACUCCAGCUUGCGUCAGAGCGCUCAAGGCAGCUGCUAGAUGGCUGAGAUCCACGAACCACCCUAGCUGGACGUACGCCGCCUCCUCUCUGGUCCCACAUGAUAUGGAACUUGUAGAUCCGGUGGAAGCAGGAACACUCCAACAUGAUGGCCGGGGAGCUAGCAGAUCCGGUGGGAGCGACGAAGCUGUUUUCUUCAUGUGCUUGGGCUGUCCUAGCCCAUGGGGCGAGAUGGAGCCGUUAGAGCUCGGGUUCCACUGCACCACACUCCGUCCUGCACAGAUCGAGGCGUGAAUCGAGGCCACUACACUAGAUCCGGAGGCGGAUGAGCUCACCUCGUCUUGAUAAAGCGACAUUCUGCUCGUAGGCGAGGAAAGGGCAAGGCGGGGAGAGGCAUGAAGGUGGCAUGCCGAGGAGAAGGCAUGGAGGCCGGGCUGUAACACCCUAAAAAUUGCUCCUUUGAAAAUAGAGCUAAAUUAAUUUAAUUUUUGCAUUUUUGUGCUCAUGAGAAUAUAGGAAAAAUAAUAUUUUUCUUUAAAAUAAAAUUUAUUAUAAGGCUUAGCAACAAUUGUGUGUAAAUCAUGCUGGUGCAUUUUAAUUUUGAGAUGAGUGAUUUUGACCAAAGUUUGAAAAUAUUUCAAACAGAUUUUAAAACGGAUUUAAAAUAGGUGUUGAAAUAAAAGAAGAAAAAAAAAAGAAAGCAAAGAAGACCUCACCUCCCUCCUGAGUCUCGGCCCGAACUGAGCCAAGGCCGGCCUAGCGCACCCCCUUCCCCUCUCCCCCUCGCCUCGGCCCAGUACGAGGCCCAAACCGCGCACACUCCCUCCCCUCCCUCCUUUCUGCUGCUGACAGUCGGGCCCCACCCCUUCUCUCGCUGCCACGUGGGACCCGUCGAGGCGGCGUCUUCCCCUUCCCUAUUCGUAACCGAGCAGGAUAACUCCUACCGAACCUGAUCCUAGGAAGCCACGAUUUCUUGCCUUUUUGCGUGAAUCAAACCCCUAUAAAGCUCCUAGUGACGCCCCGUGUCUCGGUUUCCCAUCUAUGUCACAAAACCAAGCCCUAGCCACUUCCAUCGACGUUUUCGGAUCUCGCCGAACUUCGAAUCGAGCCGCCACCAUCGCGCAUGCUCCCUGCUCCCUCUCGACCCAAGUGAAGUCCCUAGGCGGAUUUGUAGUAAGCUCCUCCACAUCCUGGUGGUUUUAUUUCUCAGUUUGGUGCACGAAAUCAUCGGAUCGACGAGCUCCGGUGAGCCCCAACAAUGGCGCCGCCGCCUAGCUCCUGUUCCGGCUAACCGGCCGGCCGGCCGGAAGCCCCUCGGGUGAUUCUGGUCCGUCCGAUCGUGAUCUGAUGGCCCAGAAUAGAAGUUAUCCUUUCGGAGUAACAUUUGCUAAAGAGUCCCUCCCCUUUUUGAUAAUAAAACCCGCCGUCCCUUGGCGUGUUAUCCGGUUUGCGCUUUUCAAUUCGGAAAACGUAUUCUUAUCGGCUUAAAAGAAAAUACGCUUAGGUAUUUAUAGUUUUGCCACCAGAUUUAAAUUGCUUAUAACAUGCUCAUUUUAACUCCAUUUUUGUCCAUUCAAAUUGCCUUGGAUUCGUAUUAAUGAGCUCUACAUGUUAGUAAACUUAAUUCACCAAUUUGAAACUUUUUAAUUUCGUGACUCUAUUUAAUUAAUUAUUUUUCUAUAUAAAAUCUUAGAAAAUUCAUAUCUUCUAUGUUUUAACUCCGAUUUUCGUGAUCUUUACGUCUGUGAGAUCGUAGUGAUGCGUAGAAUCAUUUUAUAAACUUUUUCCACUGUUUUUAUAUGAAUGGUGUACUGUUCUAAUUGUAGCCUUGUUUGCUUCGUUUAUGUUUGUCUCCGAUUGUUUGUGUGUUGAUGAUCGAUGAUCGAGUUUAGACGGAGAGCAGUUUUUGGUGAUCAAUAUCAGAGCCUUGGACAAGUGAGACCAGCAGAACCAACAGGAUCCACAAGAGCAUUUGGAUUAAGGCAAGUAUAGCAUUUGGGUUUUAAUUCUAUGACCAUGAUCCUUUGACUAAAUUAAUGUUAAGUAAUAAAUGAUAAAAAUGACUUUUUAGCCACUUGAUGAUUAAGUGAUAACCGGGACAACAGUGCAACCAUGAGGGCUAUAAUGGCUCUGGCUUUAGCUCAGUAUAAAGACCUUUUCUAGCUUGUUAGAGGUUACCCAAAGGGCGCUAGAGGGGCUUAACCGACACGGGUAUAGUGCGAGCCUCUGUUCUUAUGUGUAUAGGUUGCGCGUCAUUGUACCAUUUGGAAGGGGGUAUCUAUAUCUGCUCGCCCAGGAAACCUUGCGGCCCUAACAUGUUAGACGAACUUUUGAAACGCUUCAUAGUGAUCUCUGCCGGCCUCCCUAGGAAGGGGGUUAAGAGACUCGCGACCUCGGGUGAAAGGGUAAAUUAUGAAUCAUGGGUAAAGAUGUACAACCUCUGCAGAGUGUUAAAACUGGUAUACUAGGCGUGCUCACGGUCAAUAGCGGCAUUGGGGAUUCUUGCAUUAAGGGUGUUGAUUCUUGUUGUGUUAAAAUAUUCAUUAUUUAUUGUUUAAUGCUCUACAUUAUUUAUGCCACAUUGAUCAUGAGAUUGUGGGAUCUAAACAAUCUAGUUGCUAUACUUGUGGAGUUCGACAUGGACUCACUCUUGCUAUUUCCCCCAUACUUCAGGAAGAGUGUUAGACUUGUGAUCAACCAGUCAGUUGGAUCCUGUAGAGUGAAGUUAAUACCCGAAGUUGGAGUUAUCUAUCCGUUGUUUGUUACUAAAGGUUAUCUCUUUUAUACUAAGUACGUCAUAAAUUUAUGCAUUUUCUGUUGAUAUUACCCCUUAUUUAUAGCUAUAUGUGAGAAUUGACUUCUAAGACUCACAUAUGGUGCAUAUCUGGUUUUAUCCUUAAAAUCGGGUAUUACACCGGCGGCGGCGGUAAGGGGGAAGAGAGGAAAGGGAGACUGAAACAGACGAGAGAUGCCAGUGACCCAUAGAUCUGUGCCGUCACCAUGAGCAGAGGGGAGAGAAGGUCCUCACAAAUACAUGUAUUGCCCCGUCACCACGAGUGGAGAGGAGGGGAGGUCAUCGCAGAUUUCGUGAGCUCCUCCGUCACCGCCAGUGGAGGCGAGAAGAGGGAAGCUAGGGUUUCGGGGCUUCGGGCGCCACCCAGCCAAUGCUGGAGUGAGGCCGAUGAACAUGGAGAGAUCUGGACUGCGGGUUUGUUUCCAAAAGGCUAGAGGGUUUUUUUACAAAAGAUGUAGCACGACGUGUCGACAGGCGGAUGAGCCACCGAUGCUCCGAAUUCUACGGUGCGAGCAAAACCGAGUGAGUUUUAAUAACUCCCGAUUACCUGCCUUUGGAAAGAUUUUAAAAUAUUCAAAAGUUUCCAGACUAUUGAUAUUUUUCGUUUCCCGCCAUAUUAGACUACUUGUUCGCAGCCUAUACAUCAUACAGGCAAUUAUAGAAACAAAUAUACUAUAACAUUUUGUGGUAUAUCUCUUGUUGUCUCCGAGAAACUCAGACGUUUAUUGCAUGGUUAUUUGUGGCACUAUCACUACCAGAAACUGGAGAUUUCGUAAGGGUAAUGGUUUUUUGUGAGAGUUAAAAACACACUCUCAUGAAAUUAAUCUUUUUCAUGAUGGCGAUGUAAAUCCCACCAUGAAAACUUAUUUUCAUGAGCUAGAGUGCUCCACACAUCGUCAUGAAAUUAGCUAUUUUCUCCUUUUUAUUUGCAACAUUUUUUUGUGUAACUAGUCUUUCCCCGUGCUAACUCCAAAUGAUAUGUUUAUUUUUCCUAGUGUCUUUUCUAAAAUCAUGAUAUACUGAUUGACAACAUUUGUUUGGAUACCAAUUAUUGUUUCUUGGUUCUUUUGCAUAUGACUUGUUUUUCACUCAUGUAUAUAGAGAAAGCAUCUUAUGAAACAGCCUUUAAAAAUGUCCAAACUUUUUUUUGCACAAAAUAGGCUACAUACAUGUUGUUGUGUAGAAGUUUCAAAAUUCUCAAAACCAAAUCUCUAUUUUUUAUUGUUUAAAUAAAUUUCUGCGUGCUUAUUGAAAGUAGUUCCAAAUUAAAUGGUGAGUACCUCCAAUAAAAUUCCAAGAAUAUUGUACAAAUAAUACUUAUGCUCGUAUGUUUCAUUCUAGGCCUGAAUGAAAAAAAUCAUUUCGUUUGCUAGAAAUAAUUUGUCCUUCUAUCUCAAAAUUAAUAUAAAAUAAUUGUAAUAAUCCUAAAUUUUGUUAGAAAAUCCUACAAACUUGCAUGACAACAUGUUUUUUAUGUAUACUCCCUAUGUCCCUUUUAUCAGCUUUUGAGGAGGUACAACACAGAAUCCAUGAAUGUGGAGAGUGGGAGGGUCCAGGUGCACAAUAGAAGCUCUAUCUGAACAUGGACAAAGCUGGAGUACUCCACAACGACAAUCAAUAAGGGACAGAGGGAGUAAUACUCAAUAAAAACUUAAAAUGGUUUUAAAAAAGAGGUACCAUACAUCAUUGUCCACAAAUGGUACAUCUCUUACACUGUUAUAUGAAACUAUGUGAAGGAUAUAUCCAUUUAUGAACAACGUAUAAUCGCACUUUGUUAAAAAUGUUUUCAAAUUUUUAUGACAAGCUUAUACUCCCACAUUAUGCCCCCAUACCAAUUCUUAGUUUUUUUUGGACCACUUUAUGAUAUUAUUAUUAUUAUUAUUAUUAUUAUUAUUAUUAUUAUUAUUAUUAUUAUUAUUAUUAUUAUUAUUAUUAUUAUUAUUAUUAUUUGUCAAAGUCACCAAAAAAGCAGUUUGAGUAAUGUUCAGCAAAGCACUUAAUUUGCCAUCGAUUUUCAGGAUGUGAGAUCAAAUAGAACAUAUCUUACAUAUAUUAUUGGGUUAUCUAGUGAGUUUAUAUAAAAAUACCCUCGAGUGAAUAGUGCUAACUCAUACCAUGACGCUGUCAAAAGGGAACUACCAAAUAUAUUUGAGGGCAUACCCUAUCAUCGAUUAGGCUUUAUUGUGCAUCCUAAGCUAUAGCGCUUUCUUCAGUGACUCUUAGCCAACGCAUCGACUAAAUCUGGUGGCUGCGGUGAAGCUGCACUAAGUCCCAUUUUUUGCAAGCAUCUCAAAUCCGCUAAACUCCAAUAUGUUCCAACAUGAACAUCUUCACCUUAGGCACUGAGUUAUUAGCUUUUCAAAAACAUUGUUUACUUGCACCUCACCAUGUCUCACUAGGUCCAAUGCAUAUGCAAAGUUAGUUAUCAUCUAGUGACACUUAGAUAACCAUUUAGAUAGAGUUCCCCUCUUUACAACAUAGAUGUCUAUCCUAAACCUAAUUGUACACUAUUGCAUAUCGCCGACAAAAACAAAGUGCCUAACUUAUACCUUUGCCUUCAUAUCAUCAUAAGGCUAGUUUUUUACACCUUAAAGUGGCGAUGGGCAUGAGACCUAGCAUUGGUGAUGUCAAGCAUGCCCUACAUGAGAUGGAGUUCUCGAUGCAGAGAUAUGGACUAGUUUACACUACAACUUUGAUGUCACACCCCUUCUCGACAAAGGGAGUAGGGCAAUCAACCACACUGAUGAUCUAGAGGUUCCCCCUCCUAGCUUCAUGACCGCUACAGUCCUAGACUUGGCUAUGGUCCCUUUAAUACAUAGUCAUCCGUUCACAUCAACAUCCAACAAGCGUGACAGAGAAGGUAACAAUUGAUGACCUAUUCACUACUUUAGAAGUAGUGACAAUCUAAGACUUGUGACAUGUCAUCGACCAAGCAUAAUCCUUGGCUCACUAGGAAGCUGACCAUGCUAACACUAGAGCAUGCACAUCACAAUCUAGGGUACAAAUUUGGCAUACAUGGUGUUACUAUGACACUUUAGCGAUGGAACUCACAUGGAGAUGGCCUUCUCUUUGCAGUGUUGUCUUCUUAUCUCUUGGCUUUUCUGAUGAUGUGGAGCCACUGCUAGAGUUCCUGUGACUAUAUAUGGACGCAUGGCCUAGGGAUGAUGGUGACUUUGGUGUUGAGUUGGUGGUAGGUAGGGUUUAUCAUGGUUUAGGAGAUGUCUCUACCUAUGGCAUGCAGUCUUUGGUAGGUUGGCUUGGCAGCUUUGUGGCCUCUGGGCCAUGGCUUCCUUGUUUGAGGUUGCGAUCUUGUCAUCCUUUAUCCACUGAAGAGGAUUUGAGUGUUAUACCUUGAGAAAACAGAGUAGAAAAUCUAAUGAUAACAGUGGAAAGUGUUGGGUAUUCUUAACAUCAUUACCAAAAGUAGACUUAGUUUUCUAAUUCUGAUAACGGUGCCAAAAAUGCCAAACCUAUCCCUCAUACCACUUAAGCCAAGUUGUCAUCCCCAGCAUGACAUGAGAGACGCGGUAUUGAAAUAUGCAAUUGCUAUUCUAAAUAAAUAAUGAAUAGGAUCUGCAAGCGCACAGAUUAAUACCGAUGUAGCAUUUUAACCGGGAAGUAUUUCAGGUAUCGUUAUUUAUAUUUUUACCACUAGGAAGGGAUUAGCAAUCAUCAAUAUUGAUUACAGAAUGGAAGAUGAGAUUGAGUAUCUAUCAUUGCAUGUAUAAUUGAGAACAUUUAUAUAAUUCUUUCAUACAGGGAUAAGUGUCACAUAAAGGAUAUAUGAAGUAAUAAAUAGUGACAAAGAUAAUUAAUCUGAUCAGCAUAACUUAGCCACAUAUAAAUAUGAUAAGCACCUCAAUUAGAUACUCUAGAAAGUCAUUAGCAUGGAAUUAGAACGAACUACAAGAAUAUUUCCUAAGUUAUUCUCAACUAUAUAGUCUAGCAUUAUCAUAGUUAGUGCAAGCAUACUUAGCAAUUAUUGCGAGACAAGACUACGCCCAUGCAUAGUGUCGGCGUCUAGACUCGUGGUCUAGACACUAACAAGUAUAAGUCUGCGUGACUACCCAAACUUGGAUGGUGAUGCAAGUGAGACACAGAGGGUUUAUACUGGUUCGGGCCAAGAAUGCCCAAAGUCCAGUGUGAUCGGGGGUUCUGUAUAACCUUGCACCCAAAGGUGCUUGUAGUAGGGGGUACAAGCAGGUUGCGAGAGAGGGCUAAAUCCAAGGUCUCGACUUAGUGGUGGACAGAGUGCGGGUCGCUGCUCUGUGAAAGAGUGUGGUGGGCGUGUGUAUGAACUUGAUCCUAGCUAUGAGCCCUGGCUCCCCUUUUAUAGCCUCAAGGGGAGACAGAGAUUUACAUGGGUUGAUUUCCCUGAGUGGAAGAGUUACAGCCCCGACCCUGUUGAAGCCUGUUCAUCUUGUCCUUGAGGGAUGGUCACUCUUGUGGAGGUUUGCCGAGCCCUGUGGAAGUCGUGGGGGUCGGAUCGCCGGUACUGCAGGUCGUCCCGUCAAUAGUGGGAAAAGACCUCAAAUAGUGAUGCUGAUUAACCUCCCCCAUUCCCUUUCUACUGUGAGGCAGUACGCCACAGUGAAAGAGGUAAGGGCACACAGUGAAAAAGGUGAAGCUGCAGUGCCCAGGGUGAUUGGAACAAUCGACACCCUGCCCUGCUGCGGUAUGGGAGUCAUCGCGCCUGUCACGUCGUGAGUACGGUGCCGUGCGGUGGAAGUCUUGCUUCCCAGGUGGAAUGGGGUCCGGCGCCCGAGCCUGGAAGGGGUCGGGCGAGACGGAACUUGAGUUCGAGACCCUGAGGGGUCGGUCGAGUCGGAACUUGCGUCCGAGGCCCUGAGGGGUCGGGCGAGUCGGAACUUGCGUCCGAGGCCCUGAGGGGUUGGGCGAGUCGGAACUUGCGUCCGAGGCCCUGAGGGGUCGGGCGAGUCGGAUCUUGCGUCCGAGGCCCUGAGGUGUCGGGCGAGUCAGAACUUGCGUCCGAGGCCCUAGGGGGUCGGGCGAGUCGGAACUUACGUCCGAGGCCCUGGGGGGUCGGGCGAGUUGAAUGAACUUGCGUCCGAGGCCCUGGGAGGUCGGGCGAGUUGAAUCAACUGGGGCCCGUACCCCGGUGAUUGUGGUUAGUAUGUUUUUUGCGUUUUUUAUUGCUCUGAUUUGGGUAUCCCUUUUUAUGGUACCCAACAGUAGCCCCCGAGCCUCUGAAGGGGUGGGGUCACCUCUUUAGAGGUUCUUUCCCCAGGGACUGCUUGUUGACUGGGAGCUUUUUACUUUUCUCGGAGGGUGCGCGCGAGCGCACCCGCCGGGUGUAGCCCCCGAGCCUUUUGGAGGAAUGGUGUUAUUCCUUCAAAGGCUUUUACCCCUUACAUCUAUAGUCUGGAGUAUUUUUGAGGGAUAGGUUGCGCGUUCUUUAUACGUGGUGCCUGUUCCCAUGGUGCGAGGAAGCCCCCGAGCCCUUUCCCCAAAAGGGUCGAUCAGGUUCUUUCUCGUCUUAUAAUUACGUCCCUCAUUCUUCCUUUCGCUCGGAGGAGGGGUGGGUCGUGCCAUACUACCCUCGAUGCGAGUGACGACGCUUCCCGGGAGCUGCAGGCGGGUAGAUCCAAGUGGAUGUCCGAGUCCCAUUCGAUAGGGGUCGGCUAGUGGCCUUAUGGGCACAUCUCAAAAAGUACCCGAGGGCAGUCACGGUGGAUGUCGGAACCGUUCGUUAGGUUCCAAGGGCUCGAUGGCUCCCUCGAUGGGAUCCCACUCACGUGACACCCGCAUGGGUCUCGGAUAUGACUUGUAAAGAUGCGCCGACUCCCUAUGGGGCUCGAACCUUGGCCUCUAUUGUGCUCAUCUUCAGUCAUCCCUCGCUCAGUCAUCCUGAGGCGACUGUUCGAACCUGUGUCGCAGGUCAGUCUCGCAACCUCUGGAACGUAGGUGGCCAUGGCCUGGGGAUUUUGGGCCUCGCAAGGCUUUUUUCAGACUCGUUUUGUAGUGUUGGGGUCGGGCGAGACGGAAUCUGCGCCCGACGGGAAACUGCCUUGCAGCUUUCGCUCAGGGUCUUGAUGGGGUCGGGCGAGACGGAAAACUGUGUCCGACGGAGACCUUCCUGCGACGCUUGGUCAGCGGGGGGUCGGGCGCCGCGUCCCCUGGAAGGAACCGCCCUGACAUAACUUUUCAGGGUGCUUCGUUUGAGGCGCGGUGCGUGGGGAGUCGAAACGACCGUGCCGUCUCGCGCUGGCUGGAUGGGACGUUUCACCUGCGAAAUAAAUGCGCGCAUGCGGCGGGCGCGAGAAUCGGAGGGAGUUGGCACUUCGAAUUUUUCACCUGGGGAGUGGGCGACGGUUGCUCUUCCUCCCUCUUGGCCUUCUUCGCAGGGGGCGUGGUCGUGGCGCGCCUCUUCUAUAAACGCGGCUGCUGGGUGUUGGGUAUUUUAAACGCAAACAGAAAAAUCCGCAAGCGCACGGAUACCGAUGUAGCUUUCACCCGGGAGUAUUCCAGAGUAUCGAUUUUCCACAGGGAACGUGAGUGUACUAAUUAAGAUCCAAGAUCGCCCAAGGAUAACUAUAUAAUUAUUUUUGGUGGGAAGAGAGGAAGUUUCCUGAGAGUUCUCUAUUUGAUUUAAGAAUCAAGAAUUACUUCAAGAUUAUCUAUUUUGGGACAUCAGAACACUAACCACAGAAAGAGAUGAGAAGGGGGCUAGGAAGCUCUGACUACGGUCCUACAAACACCGAUCCGAACGAGGUGGAAUACGUCGACCGUUAGGGCUGUCACUACCCUAGGGCUACCACAACAAUCCGCAGGAUUGGGUGCAAUUCCAGGUAAUUGCAAGACUAAACACCACGUCUAAUCUAUUAAUUACUACUCUAAUGUUGCAAAGAUUAGAGCACUUGAUGCAAGCGGGAAUCCAAUAAAUAACUUGAAUGUAAAUAAAAGUAAUUAAAGAACUCAGGAUUAUGAAUUGAAGAACCUGGAGAACGAUGAAGAACGAACCAGUUGCUGCAAAAGUACAAUGUUGAGGAAGAUCCGACAGAUCCGGCUCCUCCUCCUCCGCUCUCCUCUUCUCUCUCCCUAUUUUCUAGAUUACAACUAGAACUAACUAGAACUAACUAGAACUAGAGGAACUAGAAUUAGAAGAACUAGAGGGAUCCUCUCUAUGUGGAUGAAGACUUGAAACCCUAGCUUUGAUUCUGUAGAAGAGGUAUGCCUUCAGGGGCUGGUGGGGGUCUGCUUAUAUAGUCCAGGAAGAGUAGCCCCCAAGAAAUCUAGGAAGAGUAGCUCCCAAGAAAUCUAGGAAGAGUAGCUCCCAAGGAAUUUCCACGUUAUUCUCCACCAUCCGAUCAAACCGACCUUAAUCGUGUGAUUUUCCACGAUCCUUAGAGUCGGUGGAGCAUAAUCCCCGAGACUCGUGCUGAUUGGCCAGUAGAGGAGGGCGGGCGCCCAGGGGGUAGGGCGGGCGCCCUGCUUCCGGGCCCGCUCGGCCUCCCGUUCGUUCCCAUGGCUUCUGGAGUCUUCUAGAUGAUAGAAAAUUGCGCGGCACGUUAAUAUAACCCCCUGCAGAAAUAGACAAACACAAAACUCGUGGAAUUCUGUCACAUAAAACCCUAAGUCUAGGUGUUGGUUGCAUUUGGAUCCUUUUCCAUGAUUAGUUGAUGGUUAAAUGUGAGCAUUAAGGACCGUCAACAAGCUCCCCCAAGCUUAACCUUUGCUCGUCCCUGAGCAAAGCUAAAAUCAACAAGAAAACAGGGGUUACUUUUAUGCCUCUUACUACAGGGUUUUUAAGUUAUCACUAAGGUCUUAAGUGAUUGAAAAACAGAAUGAUCAAGUCAAGCACUAUGUCUCAAGUUCUUCUGUCUUACCUUUGUUCUGGAGUUUUUUUUAUAAGUCUACAAAAUGAAACUGAGGCAUUGCCUUCUUCUCGAAAGAUAUAUAAGUAGAGCUCUAAAAGUUUUAGCAUACUUACUUUGCAUUUUGCUAUGUCAACGCUCGGAGUAAGGGAGAGGAAUGACAUACUCCUAGAUCUAGACCUCUGACCUUUUUGAAAAGUUUGUCAUCUCUUACUGGCAUAUUGCUUAUUAGAGGGACCAUGGGCUAUCAUUUUUUUUCUCUUUUUUUCAGUCUCUUUUUUUUUCAAGUGGGCAGCAAGUACCCCUAAUUCUACUGCCGGACACAUGUCCAUUUUUUCCACUCAGGUGGGUAUCUUUGUACCCCUAAUUCUACUUCGGACACUUGUCCAUUUUUAUCUCUCGUCUCACUCUCUUUUUUUUCGAAUCAAAUUUUUGCAUAGUCCCAUGCCUCUAACGCAAUAAUACUUCGGAAGAGUGAAUCUUUUAUAUUUUUAAAACAAAAAGAUCUUGAUCUUUGGAGCAUGAUAAUUCUCUCAACCAAAACUACAAGAAUUAACAAUGGCUUGAACAAAGCAAGUGUCCACAGAUUUAAUAUUUAUAUCUUAUAAGACUCUAGGUAUUAUGUCAAACAGGAUCUCAUCAUCAUUUUUUUUAGAUUUUCAAAAGAUAAAAUCUCCAGAACUCUAGCAAAACUUGGAACAAGUUAAAUAGUAGCUCAGACCUUCUCAUAUCAUGUUUGUCAAUUACCUAG